rnacentral:lncRNA from 1 species
CUUUUUUUAGGUGAGAAAAUGGGUGGGUAAAAUGGAAUUCUUUAAGCAACAAAUCAGUUAUUCAGUGGGUAUUCAGUGAGGAUGAAAUGGAAUAGGAAUGCCCCCUAUUCCAUGCAUAAACCCGUAAUAGAAUAGACCUAUAAUGGACAUUCUACUGAACCAAACAGUGGUUUGUGGUGGGCCCAUAGAAUUGAGUUGUAAUGGACAGCCAUUACAAUCAACCAAACAUCGCAUUAGAGUCGAAUUAUUUUUUUCUUAAAAUUAGGUCAAUGCAGGUUAAGUUAAAAAAAUAGUCGGGGUCGAGCCAGAGUCAGGUUUUACAUUAACUCAUCCAUCUCAAGAUAUUUACGAAAAUACACCCUAAAACCUAAACAGCUAAGCCCCUAAAUUUUUAGCUGCCUCUUCUUCUUCUCCAUCUCCUACACCCACAACCAAGUAAUUUCUUUCCUUCUCUCUUUACUUAUCUUGCUCUUACUAACUUUAUAUAUUGCCCAUACUUUGUGUUUACAUCACUGUAUCUCCUAUUUUUAAUUUUAAUGUAUUAUUCUCCUUUGUGUUUCCAGAUUUUUAGACUCAAUUGGUUGAAGCAACUUGUUAUGUGAAAAUUACUUAAGUAUAAAAUUUCUCCAAUUAGGUUUGCUACUAAACUAAUGGUAACAUGUCUCUCUUUUUUUUCUUAAUCCAGAAAAAUUGUAAGCUUUUACUCUAGAAUUGAGUUUAAGAGCUUUGUUCUUAAGAAGGAAAUAAAAAAACAAAUAAAAUGAGAUACAAUUCGGGUUAAGGUCAGAUUUUUAUUAAAUUUUGAGGUCGGGUUUGGGUCGGGCUUUUUAAAAGGGAUGGGUGAGUCAAGGUUGGGGCACGAUAAACAAGUUUUAGGUUGGGGUCGGGGCAAGCAAAAAUUUGACUCGUCCCACGCCAUUACCAUCCCUACCCAAAUCCCAUUUCUCAAGUAGUUAGUGAUAAGAAAGAGAAAUGUUGUCCACAUUUAGUGGCGAUGAAACUGUUCCUUUCUUCAGCUUCUUCAGUGUCACUGCUACUUUCGUUUUCUCCUAUAAAUACUUUCCCAAAACUUUGGAUCUUCUUUUAUCAGUGACAAUCCCUGUCCAAUAGGUUUGGUUUCUUUAUUCAGGUAUGGGAGUUACGUACAGGAUAGCGGAGAGCAAUGGCGGAGUGGCCUCGAUAGUAGCUGUGAGGUCGGAGCUGGUUAUGAAAUUGAUCAUCCUUAUUGUUACGGCUAGUAUUUUAGGUAUUUAUGAGUUGAUUAUUGCAUUUAUUAUAAGCACUAGGAUUAACCUAAAGGCCAAAUCUUACUACAUUUUCCAUAGUGUUGUUCAUCUUUCAUUUGGUCUCGCUUUAUGGCCUUAUUGGUCUCUCUACUAGUAUGGCUAUCGUCAUCAUUGGUGAUGCUAGCGCCAAGUGGCUAUCGGCAUUGUUGGUGAUUCUAGCAUCAGGUAUUCUUUUUUUGGCAUUUUCCUUUUAACACUUUUUAGAAUUUGAACUUUUUUGCUAGAUUUUGUUUAGAUUUUUUAAUUGAUUUAGAUUGUUAGUGAAAGGAAUUGAUGUUAGGGCGUAGAGAAAUCCGUAAUUUUAGAAAUGUAGGUUUUUUUUUGGAAUAAACUCGAGUAAACAACAAAUAAAGUGAAAAAAAUAAGAAUAAAAAAGAUCGAACACGUAAAUUUUACUUGGAAAAACUCUUCAAUAGAGGAUAAAAAACAUCGGGUAAAAGGAGAUUCACUAUAAUAAAAGAGAGUACAAAAGAUGGAGAGAAUUAAAAUAAAAACCUGAAACCUCACAAGAAAAGCCCUUCGAAAUAAAUAACACAAUUCUUUCAAUCUAAAUACUUUUUGUUGUGUAAAAUCCAGAGUAACUAAGGCCUAUUUAUAACCUGAAAUUCGUAGCAUAUAUGACUACAACAACUCUAGGUUAAUCAGAAUUUAAGAAACUAAAAAUAGAGUUUAACUAAGAGAAGAAAAGUCAAAAUAAGAGGCAUUAUCCUACAAAUCUCCAUCUUAACUCAUAUUUAGACCAACUCCCUUGUCGAGCCCUAUUACGGGCUUAAUUGAAUCUUCUUCGGAUACUUACCAAGUCUAAGCAAUACUCGAACUUUGAAACUGGAAGGCUCUUUGUCAACAUGUCGGUCGAAUUGUGUUCUGUGCCAAUUUUAAGAAUCUAAACAUCGCCUUGAAUGAUCACCUCUUGAACAAAAUGAUAAUGAAUGUCUAUGUGCUUCGUUCUCUUGUGAUGCAUUUGAUCUUUAGUGAAAUGUAUGGAACUUUGACUAUCACAAUAUACGACAGUUGCCCAUUUUUCACUUACCAGUUCGCUAAACAGGCCUCUUAACCAAAUUACUUCUUUUACUACUUCUAUAAUUGUCAUGUAUUUUGCUUCAGUAGUCGACAAAGCCACUAUAGGUUGAAGUGUCACUUUCCAACUGAUGGUACAAUUCCCAAAAGUAAAUAGGUAACCUGUGAGAGACCUUCUUCGAUCUAAGUCUCCUGCAUAAUCAAAAUCAAUAUAUCUGACUAAACGCUUUUGAGUUCUUCCAAAUUCUAAAUACAUGUUAGAAGUACCCUGUAAAUAUCUAAAAAUCCACUUAACUACACUUACCAGGAUUGGCCAUGUAUCGACUAACAACACUAAUAUGUGAAAUAUCAAAAUGAAUGCAUACCAUUGCAUACAUCAAACUUCCAACUCCAUUUGAAUAAGGUACUUUUAACAUGUACCUUUCAUCUUCUUCAUUCUGUGGGGAAUCUAAAAUUAAGAGUUUAAAGUGUGUAGGUAAACGAGUACUUGUCGGUUUUGCAUCUUGUAUCUCAAAUAGUUUAAGGAUCUUCUUAAUGUACCUUUGUUAUUAUAAAAAAAUAAUUUCUCGAAAUGUCUAUUUCUCAAAUUUUCCACCCCCAAAAUUUUUUUUGCUGCACCAAAAACCUUCAUCUCGAACUUAAAGUUAAGUAUGGUUUUAAGAUGAUCAAUUUCAGAUGGAUUCUUACUCGCAAUUAACAUAUCAUCAAUAUAAAGCAAAAAAAUAUACAAUAACCAUCAUCAAGACAUUGUAGAUAAACACAACUAUCAUACUUACUUUGAGAAAAAACAAUACUCAAUAUGAAGGAGUCAAACUUUUUAUACCACUAUAGAAGAGACUGCUUCAAACCGUACAAAAGCUUUUGUAAGAAACAAACAUGAUUUUCUUUACCUUCAACUUUGAAGUCUUUCGAUUGUUGCAUGUAGAUGUCCCCCUUAAGGUCACUGUGAAGGAAAGCGAUCUUUAUAUCUAACUGCUCUAACUCAAUGCAGCAAGGGUCAAAAGUACCUAAAUGGACGUAUGUUUAACAACAGGAGAGAAAACAUCACGUAAAUCAACUCCCUCCACUUGACUGUAGCCCUUGUCAAUCAAUCUCACCUUGUACCUAGUAUUGUUAAGACCCAAACCUUCCUUCUUUUUAAACACCCAUUUGCAACCAACGAUUCUUUUAUCGAUGGGUGGUUUAACUAGCCUCCAAGUUUCAUUCUUUUGAAGCGAUUUCAUCUCUUCUUUCAUUGCAACAAGCCAUUUGCUUGAAUCGAAGGCUUGAACUGCUUUAGAAUAACACGAAUGAUCGAUUGAAUCAAUGAUCUCGACAACACUUAGAGAAUAAGUCACUAGGUUUCCUUCACAAUGCUUCUAUGGUAGUCGUAUUUCUCGUCUUUUCUUGUCAUGAGCCAACUUAUAAUUAGUUAACUGAGAUGGUGAAGUUGUUUGAGGGUCGAAUGGAGCCCAAACAGAUCUGAAACAGCUUCAAUCUUGCAAGAAUCAAAAUUUUAUUGUGCCGUCGCGAUGUCGUAUGACUCUUCGUGGGGACAAAACCUUUGUUCGUCGCGUCAUUGUGACGUUGGGCAUUUGCUUGUCGGGAUGUCACCCCAUGUUUCAGCUUUUGACUCUACCUUGCUCGAGACACUCUGAACUGUUAUGUCUUUAAAAGUAGAAGUCUCAUUUUCUGAUCGAAACAUGGCAAAUUCAUCAAACAUAACAUUUCUGCUAACAAUUAUUUUGUCAGAUUUCGAACACCACAACUUAAAACCUUUUGUACCGGUAGAGUAUCCCAAAAUGAUGCAUUUAACGACCCUUGGUUUGAGUUUUCCCUAGCUACCUUUAGCAUAAGCAGGAUUACUUGAUCAUAUCUCCCCUGGAACUUAACAAACCAUAAACCAGGAUUUGUCAUGUCAAAUCAUCAAGAAUAAAUCUAAGUGCGGAAGCAUACCUGAAUCCAUGGAUUUCUUGAAAUCUUCUGAUAUUCUGAUUUUUAUCUUCCAAAUUAGUCCACAAGUAAUUUUGAAAAAGUGACUCUCUUUUUUCUAAAGAUGAGAUAUUAGAAAAGUUACUUAUGUGUAAUUUGGGGGACCAUAACCUUAAUAUAUAACUUUUUCACAUUAACCAUAAUUUAUAAUCAAUCCAUCAUCAAUUAGAAAUUAGUUAUUAUAGUAUCUACACAUAUUUGACACAUGGUUUAUUUAAUAACUAAAGCCUAAUAAACCUUAAUCAAAUUAGAUCACUUUUAAUUUAGGCUAAUAUUUUAUGAUAGUAAAUAAAAACAUGUAAUUAUACUUAUUAUAUAUGUGGUGUCCAUACAUUUUCAACAUCUUACCCUUAAUUGAGAAUAUACACAGGUGGGAAUCUUGCUUUAAAGUUAAAAGGGUUAGUUCCAUUUCCAAACCCUAUACUUUAGGUACAUUUUAAAUGUAGUAUUUCUACUUUUAAUUUCAAGAAUUUAAUCCUUCUACUAUUUUUUUUUCUAAUAUAUCCCUCUACUAUUUUGAUUUAACAAUUGAAGUCCAAUUGAUAAGACUGUCAAAAAAAUUUCUGUUAAAUUAGAUUAUAUGAUAUUUUUAAAAUAAAAAAUUACUCAAAAAGUUAAUUUAAAAUUAGACGGAAGUCAUGCAAACAAGAAAAAGAGUAUCAACUUUUACUCUUACUCUCCGAACAAUGUUGAAGAACUUACAAUCUCAAAUUUUGUUUAGACAUUCCACAAAUAUAAUAUUAUGCAUGUGAGCAUUUUUCAUUUUUCAAUUUCAAAAAUCACAUAAUUCAAUUAAACGGAAAUCCUGUUAAUAAAAAAACAAAAAAUAAAAUUUUAAAUGUGCCAAAGGUAUAUAUAUAUAGACGGAGAGUAGAACUAGACCUAUUAAUAACCAGAGUCUACAUUUCUUUAAAAAAAGAGGAGGUAGAAAAAAUUUAGGUGAUGUGUAAAUAUUUGGAUUGUAUUCGUUAAAAUUUUUUAGAAUUAAGGUCAAAAUGAUAAAAUAUAUAAACAUCGAAGGUUGAAUUUGUUAUUAUACCAAAUUAAUGCCAUGAUUAAUUAUCUUUAGUUGCUCACUUUCGAAAUUGAUAGGGUUGAAAUUGCUUCAAUUUUUUUUGAAAUGUACUAAUUUGUUCAAUUUCGAAAUUUAAAGGAACCAAUGAGAUUUUUAAAAAAACACAAUUAUUUCUGAUGUUAACCAGUCAGCGUACCCAAAUGUUCAAAAGGAUUUCGUUAAAAACAUUUAUAUAGUGACUACAUAUAAAAAAUAAAAAAAAGGUGACAAUCGUUCCCCAUCUCCCGAUUGUGAUUUUCAUUAAAAAAUAAAAAAGAACAAUCAUUGAUAAAACCUUGAGCGAAUUUGAGAAGAUUUACAAACUCUAGCACUAUAUUAAAACCAGACUUAGAAAAUUCAAAAUUGAAGUCUGUAGACAGUAAAACAGAUACAUGUAUGUGUGUGUGUGUGUGUGUGUGUGUGUGAAUGAAACAAAUCGGUGGGGAUAAUCAAACAGGAGAAAAUUUUGUAUGAAAGCUAGCUUAAAUAACACCUAUAAGAAAGACAAUACAAUGCGUUUCAAGCUAUGGUUUCUCUUGUUUGAUUGUAGUCCUGAUGUAAAGUUGAGCCCAAACAUUUCCUUAAAAGUCUUCUCUGGGUCUACAAACCCAACCAGCUUUGCAACAAUGGCCGCACUCUCAGCAAUGUGAUCCAUGUCUUUACAGUCAGUCCAGAAGCAGUAAGCCAACUGCAACCUCCUAUGUUUCGUGUUCAACCCGAUGCCCCAUUUAAUGAACAAAUUCUCUCUUUCUUCAUUGGACAGUCUCUUGCUCAUCUGUUGAAUCAGCAUAUGCCUUUCACGACGUAGAGCCUUGGCGCUGUUUACAACAUAUUCAUGGAGAUGAUUAAGUUGUUUUGGAUUAAAAAGGGUGCUUAUCACCAAUGUUCCAAAAUCUACUAUGAACUUGUUAGGUGAGAAUGAACCAAAUAUACCUUGAAGCAGGGUUUUCGACUUGUUCAUUUGCUACUUCCAUUUGAUUACCAUGAGAAAAUAAACUCUUGAGAAAUGACAGCCUCCUGUAUUCCACCUCCAUGUAUAUAUAAUCUUUUGGAUCUCCUUUAAAUAGCAGAAAAAAGUAGGUCCUGUGGACCAGUGACACAUUGCAAGCAUGCCAGAGUUCGAUGAUCUCUCUUUGAAGCCUCUUAAAUUCUGAAGGCCAUUCUGAAGGGCUUUCAUGGUUAUCUGGUAUUGGGUCUAAGCCGACGUCUUUAACAUCCUUGCCAUGUAAAAUGGGCUCUGUGACCUGUACCUGUCAUGCAUGAACAAUAUCAUAUUUAGAAUGCAAUUCUGAUGCAUAUAAAAGAUGGCUACUAUUUAGCAUGGAUCUCUUGUUUUAAUCAUGCAAUUAAUGACGGUUGAUUAAAAAGAUGAAACACUCACCGCAUGAUCAGAAAGUUGCUUCUCAUACUUAGGAUCACACAUUUUUUCUGUUCCUCCCAUUGAAGUAGAGAAAACAGCAUUAUUCUGAUCCUCUGGAGUUGGGACAACCGGAGCCAUAUGCUCAAUGCCAGAACUUUGAGAAUUAUUUUUUGCUAUCGGGGCAUUAAGCUCAUAUUCAGUAGCACUAGUUGAAGAACUUUGAGAUCCAUUUCUAGACAACCUCUCGUUCUGAAGAUCAUACUUCAAUGCAGGAAGUUCUCCCCGCAAAAUAUCUGGUCUUCCAGAGAAAUCUUUCUCAUCCCCCAUGGGAGGUGUGCUCUCAUCCUGUCCUAGCCUUUCAAUCCAUUGGGAGGUCAAACUGGUCAUUAGGCUCGCUUUACAACUUAUACUCCUAGUUAAUUUCAAGCUUCUACAGCUAGAUAUUUCUUCUUUUAGCUGCCAUAAACAUGAUUUUUCAGGAGAUGGAAAAGCAAUAUCUGGGUGGUUGUUACUGCUUUUCAAGUGGAGUGACACGGAUUCUCGCUUUGAUCUAUCUUCAUUGCCAACAUCCAUCAAUCCGGAAAUAGCUGUGUUUUCUCUUGGAGAUGACCUAUUAUAGUUUUGGUAGUUCUUUGGGCUAGGUUCUGACAAAUUUGAGUCUGAAUAUCUAUUCAUACUUGACCUUCCUGAGUCAAUGCAUCGAACUUCCUUGCAAAGUGCCUCUGAAUUUUCAUCAACAAGUUCAUCAUUCUCCUCCUGGGGCAUAUUACUGUUAGUACAAAACUCCGGUAAGGAAAAAACUCGAACACACGAUCGGAACUCGAAAAGAAAAAGAAGAAAUAGGACAGGCUCCAAGGCGUGUAUCAAGCCACUAUCUUUAAGGUUAUAUUCGCCCCCACUUAUCUUCAGUGUGCAAACGAGUUCCAAGCAAAUUAACCUCGAGGAUACAAUGAAGCCAAUGACUAUUUGCGUUUUGCACUGACGAGAAUAGUCCACUAUGCACUGAGUAAUGUAUAACAAAAACUCAAUUUCUACAAAGGAUUUCUGCAGCAAUACUUUAUAGAAUAAUCUAAUAAUAUUAGAAAAUGAAGGAAGAAAAGAAAUAAUAUUAGAAUUUGUUGAUAUGAUUUACAAAUGAAAUCCCAUUCCUAUUUAUAGGAAUUUUCAUGUCUCUUCAUAGAGACAUCUUUCAAUAGGUGUCUUUAUGAAUAAAUAAAUAAUAAUAAUUAUUCAUUUAAUUUUGUAACUAUUCAAAUAAUAUUUUUUGAAUAGUUAUAAUUCUUUUUUAAAAAAUCAAAUGAUAUAACUUUUGACCAAUGACCAAAAGUUUUAUCUUUUGAUUAAUUACACCCAUUCAUUUAUAGUUAUUGGGAUACUAUAAAUAUUUGAAAAUAUUCCAACAAUCUCCCCCCAUUUUCAAAAUAUUUAGAUUUUGAUAUUCUUGGAAAUCAAUUUGCAUAAAUAAAGGUGUCUUACGAUUGAACCUUCACUUAGUGAAAACAUGUUAAAGUUAAUCGAAAUUGUAUGGUAGACUAAGCUUUGAACCAACUAUUCCAUUUGAUUAACUAAACACAUCUCACACAAUGAUUUCAACAUCAGUCAAUGCAUAGUAUCUAGGGACACUAUUAUAGCCAUGUGUCUAUGUCCUCUUUUCAUGAGUGCUGUCAGAGCCAAGCCCUUAAGCUCCUAGAAGCGGCCACACUUCCACUCACAUAAGUAGAUCCCAUCAAAAGUGUUCCCGUAAUUAUAACACUCUAACAUAUUUAUGUUAUGGGUCCAUUAAGAGUACAUUACUCAUCCUUCCCUUAUCAUUACGGGUACCUAGCACUUUAAUCUUAGGAUGGAUUUAUUUAUAGUGCUAACAGUCACAUACUAAUGAUGUACUUUGUCUCAUUGAACUCAAGACUUGACGUUAUACCAAGCGUUGAGUCGAGUUUCCAUCAUGGGUGACUCUAAUUAAUAGGCUUGAGUCCCAUCCCUUUUGAGGUCCUUUUUACUGCAUCUCUAGCAAGACUUUUUGUCAAAGGAUCUGCCAAAUUUUCACUUGACCUCACAUAAUUAAUAGUGAUCACUCCAUCAGAGAUUAAUUGUCGGACAUAACUAUGUCUUAAUCCAAUGUGUCUAGACUUUCCAUUAUAUACUUGGCUAUAUGCCUUUGCUAGAGUAGCCUCACUAUCACAACGGAUAGAAAUAUGUGAAAUUGGCUUAAGCCAUAAAGGUACAUCAUAAAGCAAAUUUCUUAACCAUUCUGCUUCUUUAGAUGCAGCGGCUAAUGCAAUAAAUUCUGCUGCCAUGGUGGAAUCAGUAAUACAUGUUUGUUUCUUGGAACCCCAAGAAAUGACUCCUCCACCAAGAAUGAAGAUCCACCCACUAGUAGAUGCAUGAUCUUCCAAACUUGUAAUCCAACUAGCAUCCGAAUACCCUUCUAAAACUGGAGGAUAUCCAUUAUAACACAAUCCAUAGUUAAUAGUUUUCUUUAAGUACCUAAGUACUCUAUUUAAAGCUUGCCAAUGCAAACUACUUGGAUUACUUGUGUAUCUACUCAAUUUUCCAAUAGCAUAUGCAAUAUCUGGUCUUGUACAAGUCAUUAUGUACAUAAGACAACCAAUUAGACUUGCAUAUUUCAAUUGAUCAAUUUUCCUACCAGCAUUAGAUACUAAUUUUAAUUGAGGAUCCAUGGGUGUAGAUGCUGGUAUACAGUUGAAAAGAUCAAACUUUUUAAGCACAUUUUCAAUGUAAUGUGAUUGUGAUAAAGCUAUAGUGCUUUCAUCUCGGGUUAUUUUAAUCCCAAGAAUAACAUAUGCUACACCCAUAUCCUUCAUAGCAAAGUUGUUUGACAAGAAUUUCUUUGUGUUUUCUAUUUGUUCCAAAUCCGUGCCAAAAAUGAGCAUGUCAUCUACAUAUAAGCAAAUUAUAACACCCUUUCCAUUAUCAAAUUUACUAUAUAUGCACUUAUCGGAUUCAUUUAUUUUAUAGCCAUUAGCUAAAACAACCUUGUCAAACUUUUGGUGCCAUUGUUUUGGUGCUUGUUUAAGCCCAUAUAAAGAUUUAACAAGCUUACAUACCUUAUGCUCUUGUCCUGGAACAACAAAUCCUUCCGGUUGCUCCAUGUACACUUCCUCUUCCAAUUCACCAUUUAAAAAUGCAGUUUUAACAUCCAUUUGGUGAACAACCAAAUUAUAUAUAGAGGUAAGUGAUAUUAAUAGUCUAAUUGUAGCAAUUCUUGCUACUGGAGCAUAGGUAUCAAAGUAAUCAAUACCUUGUCUUUGUGUAAAACCUUUUGCUACCAACCUUGCUUUAAAUUUAUCAAUGGUUCCAUCGACCUUCAUUUUCUUUUUGAAGAUCCAUUUACAACCUAUUGGUUUGGAACCUGGUGGAAGAUCAACUAAGAUCCAAGUUUGAUUUCCCAUUAUUGAAUCCAUUUCAUCAUUUAUUGCUUCUUUCCAAAAAGCAGAGUCUUAAGAUUUCACUACUUCUUCAAAUGUAAUAGGAUCAGAUUCGGUAUUAUAACAAUAAGGCAUCUUAUUGCAUAUACUUUCACCUUUUCCUUCUACAAGAAACAUAAUGAAAUCUGGUCCAAAAUCUUUGACCUUUUUAAUCCUCUUACUUCUUCUUAAUUCUUGACAAGAUUCAUCAUUAUUAUCAAUUUGUUUCAAUGGAAUCUCAUUCUCAUUUGAAGAAUGAAUCAAUUGUUGUGGUUGUAAUUGUCUUGAUAUAGAAUUAAAUCUAUUUUCAUCAAAAAUAGCAUCUCUUGAUUCAAUAACCGUAUUAAUUGAAAUUGAAUCAUUUGGUUCAAUUACUAUGAACCUAUAUGCCUUGCUAUUAUGUGCAUAACCUAUAAAUAUGCAUUCAAUUCCUCUUUCACCUAACUUUUUACGUUUAGGUGUUGGAACUUUUACAAUAGCUCUACAACCCCAAACCUUUAAAUAAUUAAGGUUUGGUUUCCUUUUCUUCCAUUGUUCAUAGGGGGUUAUUUUAGUUUCCUUAUUAGGAACUCUAUUCAAUAUAUGACAAGCUAUUAGAACAGCUUCUCCCCAAAAACCCUGUCCAAGACCUAAAUAUGAUAACAUUGAAUUUACCAUUUCAAUCAAGACUCUAUUUUUCCUUUCAGCUACACCAUUUUGUUGUGGUGUGUAAGGGGCUGAAACUUGAUGGACAAUUCCAGUGAGUUCAAAAUAACUUGGAUUAUAGUAUUCUCCACCUCUAUCCGAUCUUAAGCACUUGAUAAAUGAUUCACACUGAAGUUCAACUUCAGAUUUAUAAACUUUAAAUUUAUCAAGCACUUCAUCUUUUGAAUGCAAUAAAUAUACAUAACAAUAUCUAGAACAAUCAUCAAUAAAAGUAACAAAAUAUUUCUUUCCACCUAAUGUAGGAGUAUUAUGCAAGUCACAUAAAUCACUAUGUAUCAAAUCAAGCAAUUUUGUUUUCCUUUUAACCUUAGGGAAAGGAUUUCUUGUAAUUUUAGUCAACAUACAGGUAUUGCAUUUUUCAAUAUUAUUAUUAAAAACAGGAAUUAAAUCUAAUUUAUACAUGUCAUUCAAUUUUCUAUAAUUCAAAUGACCUAAUCUAUAAUGCCACAAACAAAAUGAUUCAACCAUAUAAGCAGAAAUAGUAUUUUUAUUCUUAUUAAUAAUAUUAAGUUUGAACAUGCUUUCAUACAUAUACCAUUUUCCCACAAAAAUUCCUCCCUUAGACAAAAUAAACUUAUUUGCCUCAAAAACAAGUUUGAAACCAAACUUAUUCAACAGACUUCCAGACACUAAAUUUUUCCUAACUUCUGGUACAUAAUAUACAUCAUUUAAGGUUAAAACCUUUUCAGAAGUGAAUUGUAGUUCAACAGACCAUUUACCUUUAAUUGUUGCGGUGGAAGAAUUUCCCAUGUACAAGACAUUGUCAUUUUCACAUUGUGUGAACUUUGUGAACAUGCUUUUGUCUUUGCACACAUGUUUGGUUGCUCCGGUAUCAAUCCACCAUGUAUUAUCAUCUUGUGCCAUAUUAAUUUCAGAUAUCAUUACAACGAACUUUUCGUUUUUAUCAGCCUUAGAAGAUGAUUUCUUCUUUAAAAAUCGACAUUCAUUCUUGAAAUGUCCCGGCUUUCCACAAUGAUAGCAUGAGCCCUUUUGUUUCUUUUUGAACUUAGGUGCUCUAUCAGUCUGAUUGAACUUUCUCUUGAAUGGUUUAGUAGUCUGUACUUCCUCCGUAACAUGUACUUUGGCAUUUUCAGAAUUUAGGUUCUGAUCUUGUUUUCGAUACUCUUCUUCAAUACGAAGAUGAUUUGCCAAAGCCUCAAGAGAUAUUUUCUCUUUCUUAUGUUUUAGACUUCUUUUAAAGUCUUUCCAAGAUGGAGGAAGUUUGUCUAUUAUGGAGGAUACCACAAUCAUUUCAUCCAUUUUCAUAUCAUAUUGCUUAAAUUGAUUCAGCAUCUUUUCAAUAUCACGAAAUUAUUCCAUAACAGAACGACCAUCAACCAUUUGAUAAUUAUUGAAACGACUGACAAGAAAUUUCUUACUUGUAACAUCUUCGGUCAUGUAUCUUGCCUCCAAUUUGUCCCAUAAUUCUUUAGCGGUGACGUCGUUUUGGUAGGUGUCGAACAAACCAUCAGAUAAACCAUUCAAUAUGUGGCCCAUGCACAUGUAAUCAGCAUUGUCCCAUUUUUGUCUUUCUCGGGUUGCAGCAACAGAUUCAUUUUCAUUCUCUUCAGGUCUUGGAGUAUCCAAAACAUAAGCAAUCUUCAAAGUUGAUAACAAAAAGUGCAUAUUUUUCUGCCAUCGUCGAAAAUUGCCACCAUCAAAACGAUCAAGUUUAACAAAGUUGGAAGCCAACUCCCUUAGUGUUCCACUUUCAUGUGUUGUGGUAGUUAUCAUGAAAUAUAACCUUAAAAUUGUUAGUACAAAACUCCGGUAAGGAAAAAACUCGAACACACGAUCGGAACUCGAAAAGAAAAAGAAGAAAUAGGACAGGCUCCAAGGCGUGUAUCAAGCCACUAUCUUUAAGGUUAUAUUCGCCCCCACUUAUCUUCAGUGUGCAAACGAGUUCCAAGCAAAUUAACCUCGAGGAUACAAUGAAGCCAAUGACUAUUUGCGUUUUGCACUGACGAGAAUUGUCCACUAUGCACUGAGUAAUGUAUAACAAAAACUCAAUUUCUACAAAGGAUUUCUGCAGCAAUACUUUAUAGAAUAAUCUAAUAAUAUUAGAAAAUGAAGGAAGAGAAGAAAUAAUAUUAGAAUUUGUUGAUAUGAUUUACAAAUGAAAUCCCAUUCCUAUUUAUAAGAAUUUUCAUGUCUCUUCAUAGAGACAUCUUUCAAUAGGUGUCUUUAUGAAUAAAUAAAUAAUAAUAAUUAUUCAUUUAAUUUUGUAACUAUUCAAAUAAUAUUUUUGAAUAGUUAUAAUUCUUUUUUAAAAAAUCAAAUAUAUAACUUUUGACCAAUGACCAAAAGUUUUAUCUUUUGAUUAAUUACACCCAUUCAUUUAUAGUUAUUGGGAUACUAUAAAUAUUUGAAAAUAUUCCAACAAUUACUUCCAACAAAAUCAGGAAUUUUAGGUGACAGCUGCGGGGAGGAACUGGGAUGUGGUAUAUUCAAUUUAAAGUCAGAAAGCUGGAGGAAGCUCUCUCCAGAACUGCAGCUUUGUCUAUCUGAAGGGGUGAAGGAUCUAGCACCAACAGCCAUGACAGGUGUACCAAUGGUUGAAUGUUCAAAGUCCCACGAAUUUUGCAGUCUCAGUUUAGGGUAAUGAGGAUCUGGACCUGCCUGAUGGAGGACAUGUAGAACUAGAAGUUAAACUUUGUAUGUAGAAGUGAACUUAAAAGAAGCAUCAAAUGCUAUAGUAAUUCACACAAACCCAUAUUUUCACUGGUUUUUCAUCUUCAGGACUUUCAUUGGUUACCGCUUGUCGCAGAUUCUCAACCUCAGACCUAGCAAGUUCUCUUUGCUGUUUCAGUGUGGCCACCUCUUUCUUUAGCUGCAUGAAGCAUGCAGGAAAAGUCAAUAAUUCAUUAUUUUAUCUAUAUUCUUGAAAUAAGGAUGAAUUUGAAAUUUUGGCAGCUAAAAACUAUUUUGUAAGAAAUGUCCACCUGCCAGGCUUCUAAAACUAUUCAAUGAGUGAUGCAAGAGAGUGAGGAGCAAUGCAACUCGAACCUUUUCAAUCUCGAGGUCUUUCUCUCUUAGCAAUGCAGCAGAAUCAGAGGAAAUCGAAGUUGUUCUUGCACUUCUUAGCUCGUUCUCUAGUCUAGCCAAUUCUCUUUGCAGUUGUUUCACUAAUGCUUUAUCCGACAUGACCACAAUGACUUGUGCAUUGGUAGUCACUUCUUUAGCACAACUUGCAAAUAAGAGGGUGUUUCUCGAUUGUUCAANNNNNNNNNNNNNNNNNNNNNNNNNNNNNNNNNNNNNNNNNNNNNNNNNNNNNNNNNNNNNNNNNNNNNNNNNNNNNNNNNNNNNNNNNNNNNNNNNNNNNNNNNNNNNNNNNNNNNNNNNNNNNNNNNNNNNNNNNNNNNNNNNNNNNNNNNNNNNNNNNNNNNNNNNNNNNNNNNNNNNNNNNNNNNNNNNNNNNNNNNNNNNNNNNNNNNNNNNNNNNNNNNNNNNNNNNNNNNNNNNNNNNNNNNNNNNNNNNNNNNNNNNNNNNNNNNNNNNNNNNNNNNNNNNNNNNNNNNNNNNNNNNNNNNNNNNNNNNNNNNNNNNNNNNNNNNNNNNNNNNNNNNNNNNNNNNNNNNNNNNNNNNNNNNNNNNNNNNNNNNNNNNNNNNNNNNNNNNNNNNNNNNNNNNNNNNNNNNNNNNNNNNNNNNNNNNNNNNNNNNNNNNNNNNNNNNNNNNNNNNNNNNNNNNNNNNNNNNNNNNNNNNNNNNNNNNNNNNNNNGUCUAUUGAGUCGACCAAGCUACCUGACCCUUGGAUAGGUCUAAUGAGAACUAUCUAAUGCAAUGAAACACUAACCUUACCUAUUGAAAAAACUCUCUAAUGUAGUUCUAAAAGCACCCAUUCAAUAAAAUCAUGAUUUUAUUACUAUUGAAAUACAAUCAAACGAAAGAAAUAACAUACACUAAGAUUUUGCUUCUCUUUGGCGAUGAAGAAGAAAAUGAAGACAAUGAGCUUCUUUUGUUGCUUCUCCAUCUCUGAAGAUGUGUUGAUGGUUUUGGGAUUUUAUUUUAAAUUAAAAAUUCAUUUUUUAUCUUUUAUUUCUUUCCAUAAAUUUAAAAUAUUAUUUUCUAAAAUUUCAAAAUCCAUGAAGUCCUUGUUUAGAACCCAUAAAUUUAUAUUAAAAAUUCAAAACCUAGAAAUUGUUAAAUCCAAUAACUUAAAAGAUUAAAGCUUGUUAGAGUAUUAAACAAUAUAAUAUAUUGAAAUAGGAAAGUUUAUAAUAGCUAAGGGGAUACAAAAAUGAAUAAUCGAAAUUAUAAAAUGGUGAUUACACAAAAUUGAGAGAUACGAAAGUAUAGGAGAUGCGAAAAUAAGUAUUCAUUAAAGUAGAAUAAAGUAAGCAUUAAAUAAAUUUUUAUGUACCUUUUAGAUGGAAGUAUGGAUGACAAAGAUAAACUAAACAUUAAGGAAAACAUGAGAAAUUUAAAAGUGAGUAAUCAAAACUUUUAGUUGAUUUUUUUCUCCAAUCAAGUUUAUUUAUUUAUUUAUGGUUUCAAUCAAGCAUGAGAAACCCUUUUUAUUUUUUUAGGUUUUGUAAAAUAGGGAAGAAAGCCUUGUAAAAAGACGAUGGUUUAUGGGUUUCGACUCGAAAGUUUGAUCAAUUUUUUAAAGAUUUUUUUACAUAUAUAUUUUGAAUUUUUAUAAAAUUUUUAUUCAUAUUUUUAAUUUUUAAAAAUAUUUUAACGUGAAUUUUAAUAUUUUUAAUAAUUUAUAUUUAUUUUUAAUAUAUUUUAAAUUUUUUUAAAAAUUAUUGUUAAGAAAUUCUUUUGAAAAAAAUUAAAAUGAUAUUUUAGCUAUAAUUUAGGGACCAAAUUAGUAAUUAAUUAUUUAAUCAGAGGGAUAAUUUGUACGUUUUGAAAUGUAUAAAGACUAAUUUACUUAUUUAUUCAGUAGAUGAGUCGAAAUACAAUCUAUCUUAAGUAAUAGGCUUCCCUGGUACAUUUAUCAAAAAAGAAUCUAAUAGUAAUGAAGAUAACAUUCAUGGGCUGGACAACUUAAGGCCUAAAUAAAUGAUACUAAAUUAUAUAUCUUGAGUUUGGACUUCUUUGUGAUGUGGUCAUGGAAGAUGUUUAAUCCAAAACAACAUGAGCUAUCUUGUCUAUAACCCAAAACAGUUGACUUGGAGACAGCACAAAGCUCUAUCUGCUUGUAUUCUUAUGGAUAUUCUAGUUCUUUUCUUACCUCUUUUGCGCCCCUUUUCCUCCCUUUUUUGCACUUUCCUAACCUUGAUUCAUGGAUGUUGUUGUUGUGAUGGCCGUCAUCGUCAUAAUCUAACUCACCCGUUUGUGGCUGUAUUCACAGCUGGGAUACCAAUAAGUUCUGCUGCCAUAGUUGUAUAUAUAGAUAACAAUUUCAUGUUAGUAUUUCUGAUAAAAUAUUCGAUACGUUUGUUGGAAAUGAAGAAAAUGUUAAGCCUGAGGUAGUGACUCUUACUAUCAAACAUGUCAUAUUGUUGACCAAAAACAUCCAGACUUGUUCCCAACUGUUGACCUGUGACGUGAUCACCAUGCAUGAGGCUAGGCUAGGGUGUCAAUUGCAACGCGAUUUUACUGUCAAAUUUCAUGUAACGGGAAACAGCAAAGAAGUUUCUCACUUUUUGGAACUUUGUACUCUCUGUCUUUAGGAUACCUCGAAAAGGCAAAAACAGCACUGCCUCUUCCUUUAUGCUUGUUUGGUUAUAGCCCUUCAAAAUCACCAUUUUUCGGCACAAAUGAACAAUAUUAGAAUAGAUUUUGUUAUUCGCUUAUUUUUGCGGCAUCUUCAACACGAGCUUAGGCAACAAGCUAAACCAGACAGCUUUCUUUUUUUUUCUUGCAAAUUGAUUUUGUGCAGAUCCUGAUGGAAGGGAAAAAAAAUCUUUGUCACUUUCACAUAUAUGGUUAUGCCGAUGAAUGAACAGUGCAAAAAACGCGUGAUAAAGCAGUAACUAGCUAAUAAUCCACAUAUAGAAAAUCUACAUACCAAAUAGUAUACGACAUAAUAAUCUCAACUUGGAAACUAUAUACGUUAUCUUUUACAACUGUUAAUCGAAUCCGAUUAUUCCUGAAAAAUGUGAACUCCCGAUCAAUAGAUCAUAACAUGAGGUUCGAAAACUAUGUACCAGAAUGGGAAAUUCAAUGAUAAAAGGGUUAAAGACCCUCUACUUAAUGUCUAACUGCCUCUUGUCUGUAUAAAUAAAAACCAUAAAACCAAUGAAACAGAUAGUUUUUUUAUUUUAUUUUUAAAUUAAUGGAAUCUGAACACCAGCUUGGGAGCAUUAAUCAAAUUACAACGUUUCAGGUACAGAAGCUAAAUGGCUGUUAUGAUAUUUUGAACUUGUACACUUUUUUCCUAUCUCUUCAAAAACAAAAAAAAAAAGGGUCUAUGUAUCUGAUUGGGAAGUAAGAGAAUUUGCCAGGAAAGUUCCUCAUAAUUACUUGAAUUUGAAUUCAUGAAAUGAGAUGUUUCACUGUUUGCUUUUGCUUUAUAAAAGACCACAAGGCAGUAACCUAGUCAUCAUGCAAAGUGAGAUAGUAAAGAUAGGCAGAAGCAAAGUGUAAGAGUGAAAACAUGUUGGACUCCGUGGAAGCAAACAACUUUGAGGCAUUGCCACUUCUGUCAUUGAAUCAUGUCUCAUUGUUGUGUAGAUCAGUCUGGGAUUCAGUGCGGUUCUACGAAGAUGUUUUGGGCUUUGUUUCCAUCAAACGCCCUUCUUCUUUCAACUUCAAUGGAGCUUGGUAACCUUACUGCUCUACCCUAGUUUAGUAAAAUCCAGUGUUGAAUGAAACAGGAUACUAACUAAACAACUGAUGCAGGUUGUAUAAUUAUGGCAUUGGGAUACACUUAAUUGAGAAUCCAUCUAUCGAUGAUUUCGACACUAUCGUUGAACCUCGACCGAUUAAUCCAAAGGAUAAUCACAUAUCCUUCCAGGUAUGGCAAAAUGAAUCCAAGUUGAAUCUUUCAGAAACCAAGCAGCACUAACAAGUUUCUGUUUGAAAUGGCAGUGUACUGAUGUUGGCCUUGUCAUGAGGAGGCUGCAAGACAUGGGAAUGAAGUAUGUUACGGCGGUGGUCGAAGACCAAGGGAACAGGGUUGAUCAGGUAUUCUUCCAUGAUCCAGAUGGUUAUAUGGUUGAGCUCUGCAACUGUGAGAACAUUCCUAUCAUUCCUCUUUCUUCAUGCUCAUUCAAGCAAAGGCUAAGCAGUUUCUACAAGUCUGCACCGGCUAAAUGCGGAUUCAUGGAAAACGCCAUGAUGGAGAGCUUGAGCAUGGAAAUGUUGAACAUUUCAUUUUGAAUCAGCAGAAGAAAAAGAAAAACUGUGAGCAACUUCCAUUUUCUUUUUCUGCUAUUAUAUUCUGCAAUUGUUUUCACAAGUCUUACAAUGGUGUGCUGUCUUGUUUUUCAUGAACAACAUGUGUAUUUCGUAAUGGUUAUAGCAGUUAAUAAGUAUGCGAGAUUGAGUUGCAAUCCUUGUGUAAUAUAUCUAUACCCUAUCAGCCUAAAUGAGGCUUUUGAUGUAUAAAUGAAAGAAAUAUGGUUUGCAAAAUCUCAGUGUCUUGCCAUUUUGUGCCUUGCCCCUCAGCAAUGUUACUCAUAUUCUUAUUUAUUUUCUUUUUAAAUUUUGAAUUUAAUCCUUAUAUUUUAUUUCCAAUUAUUUUAGAUUUCAAAAUUUUGAAAUAAAAGAUUUUACAUUAAUGUAUUUUAAUUUUCGACAAAAAAUGAUUUAUGGCGGUGAAAAUGUGGAGCGAGAAGCAGAAUGACAAGUAUGGAGGUAGGUGGGAGAAAUGACAUAAAGCCACAACAUGAAGCGAUAUCUGUCAACAAAAGCUGUGUAAACAUGGUAUAGAAAACUGAAUAAAGAAGGUGUUUUGAUGGAAGAUGCAACUCAUUGAGCUUCCGCCAGUUGUGCUGAGAUUGCUUCCUCACUCAGUUUUUUUCUUGGUUUCUCAAGAAUAAUAUGCAAUCCCCGCUAAAGUAGAUACAUAAUCAGCUACUUAUUAAAAUUGAGAAUAUUAUUUCUUAAAAUAUUUUUAAAAAAUAUUUAUGUAUUUUUAAAAAUUUCUUUAAAUUUUUAGAAUUAAGAUCAAAUUGACAACAUUUGUAAAUUUUGAGAGUUAAUUUUUUAAAAAAAUGAUUAAAUCAAUAUAAUAUAUAAAAGUUAAUGGUUAAAUUUAUUAUUAUAUCGAUUUUUUUAACUGUCACAUUAGCCUGUGGUUUGUGAUUUUAACAAGAGUGAUCAAAAUUAUCGAACUAUGUAAUGUAGAUAAAAACUUUUGGUAAUUUGGUGACUAUUUGUAUAUUUCAUUCUUUAAUAAAAUACAGUUAAAGGAUUUGAACAUUUUUUUUCUUGAUUUACUUUAAUUCAUUUGGUUUAAGUUUUACAAUUUUAAGGGUAAAUUAUACAAAUAGUUAUUCAAUUAUGCCCACAUUCCUCUUUUGGCCUCUCAAGUUUAAAAAUAUUCAAUUUAAGCAUUAAUACUUGAAUUAGUUCCUGUUUUGGUCACCCGCAAUUAAAUUAAUAAUAGAAAGUCUUUUUCUAAUUGAUAUAAUAACACAUUUAGUCCUCAAUUCUUUAUUCUACCAAUUUAAUCCUAAUUCUAAAUAAUUCAAUAAAUUUAACCCUUCAUAUUUACAAAUUCUAUCAAUUUGAUUUUCAAACUUCCUAACAAAAGCUUUUAGCUUUUAAAACACAUGCAUUCCACAUCUAUAAAUUUGUAAAAACCCAAAAAGAAGAAAAAACUUCUCUCAACUACCAAGCCUUUUUUGAGCUAAUUUCUAAUACCAAUGAGUUUAUCUUGAAACUUUAUUUACUUAUUUUUUUUCAUUAGUUUUAUUCUAAAUAUAAUAUUUUAUAACACUUUGAUUGAUAAAAUUUUGGUUAGAGAAGAUGAAAAAAACCUUUAAGAAAGACACUUUAGAUUUAAUCUUAUUGUUAGCAGUAUGAUAUUUCCUUCAACGUACACAAAAAUAGUCCUCGAAGUUAGUCUUUGAAAUUGGAAAUUAAAUCCAGAGUUAAAAAAUAUGGUUUUAAAAAAUUUAAUUGUUCAAUCAAUAAUUAUAUAAUAAAAAAAUUACAAAAUUUUAAUUUUUUCAUAAGAAAAAAAAUGUGAAAGAAUUAAUUGAAUUUCCUUUUGUUACAUUGAUAAUUAUUUUUUUAAAGAUUAAGAGAUUAUUAUUAUUAUUAUUAUUAAUCUGUUUUCUAUUUAUUUUUAAUUUUUAAAUCCACAAUAAGCAAUAUGUAUCACUAAUAAUCUAAUUUAGUGUCAAAUCAUUUACCAAAUUAAUUAAAAACUAAAAUUAUGCUAGUUAGAGUGGAAAAUUAUUUUUUGUCAAAUAUUAAAUUGUUUAUAUAAUUUUAUAUUUUUAAAAUUUGUAAUUUCUGUUAUCUUUAAUGGUGUUUAGUUAAUUUUUAACAUUACCUUCUUAAAAAUAUAAACAAAAAGGGUUAUUACCAAAUUUAACAAUUUCAACCAUAAAUAAAAUAAUUAAUAAAUGUGGAAUACCUUUGUUCUAAAGGUUGAAAGCUUUGGUUAGGAAGUUUGAAGAUCAAAUUGAUAGAAUUUGUAAAUGUGAAGGGCUAAAUUUAUUUAAUUAUUUAGAAUUAAGAUCAAAUUGAUAGAAUAUGUAAGUAUUGAAUACUAAAUGUGUUAUUAUACCAUUUGGAAAAAGACUUUCCAUUAUUAAUUUAACAACAAAUGUCCAAAAUAAGAACAAAUUCAAACAUUAGUUCCUAAAUUGAAAAAUUUUAAACUUAAGUGACCAUAACAAAAAUACGAGCAUAAUUAGAUGAUCAAUGAUCUACCCAAAUUUAAUAAUAAUUAUAUCAAACAUGGAAGAAAAAUGACUAAUAAAUUCUUAUUAACAUCACAUUUAUAUUACAUUACUAUUGUCAUUUCCGAAACCCAAGGAUUUGAGACCUAACAACAUUGAAUACCCAUGGGAAGAAUGUCAUAACACAAUCAAAAUCCAAAAUACCAAAUGUCUCCAAAAUUUCAAAUUUACAAAACUUUAAGUCUCCAUAAAUUCUGUUUACCACUUGAUCGAAAUUAUAACAAUAUUUUGUCUAACUAAUACAUGACUAAAUUUGCAAUCAUCUUAUUUGAAAGAUCAAAAGGAGGUGUGUAGACAAAUAACCAAUUAUAAAAUGUUACGUGUUAAGCCGAAAUUAUUAUGGAUAAAAAUGAUGACAUCACAUAUUACACUAUCAUUAUUUUUUUCUAAUUAAUUUAAAUUAAUUAAAAGAUGAAUAAUAAAAAAUUAUACUAUCACUAUUUAAAUUAAAUUAAUUAAGUGAUAAUAUUAAAUGAUUAUUUUAUUUCUGAUUAAUUAAAUUAAUAUGAGAUAAAUAAUAAAUAAAAUAAUUUAACUUUGAGAAUCACUCUAACUUUUUUUACACAAGUGAUUGACAUUGUAAAAAGGGUUAUCUCUAAGUCAUUCUACACAAGUUUAGAAGUUCAUAAAUCAAAGGCUAAGGAGAAGAUUUUGAAGAUGAAAAAUUCUUUUCAAAAUUGCAAGAAACCUCUAAAGAAGUCAAACAAAUUUUGAAGAACACCACAUUGGUUUUGAAGAAAACUAAUCUUCAAUCUUGCUCAACUCAUAGAAAAAAGGUAAACUUGUUUUUUCAAGAUCACACGUAAAAGGCUUUUGAAGCAAAAUCGUCCAUUCAAAAUCAAGUCUAGACGACCCUUUGACCAAAGCAUUCUUCUAUCCGAUUGCACCAACAUAAAUGAGAUAAAACUCGUUUUCAAGAUCAAGUCCCAAUAACCCUUAAAAUGAACAUCAUUCAUUCAAGAUCAAGUCUCAAAGACUCUUGAAUCCUAUCAAAUCAAAUUCUCAAGCAAGCAUGUCGUCAAAUCCAAUUUCAAAAUUAAGUCUCGACGACCAUUGAAACGACUCACAUCCAUCUAAGUUAUGUCUAGACAAACCUUGGAUUGAAACUCUAUUAGAGAGAAGAGAGAAUUUCUUUGUAUUUGAGAAACAUCCAAGGAUUGUAACUCAUAAUCUCAUAAAUACAAGUUCUUUAAUUUGCUCCAAUUUCUAGAUUUUAAUUUUUACUCCAAAUUUGUGUCUAGGUGCUAAGCUCGAAACGAUAAGCUCUUGUGAAACUAAAAUUCAUAACAUAUAAGUCAAAAUUUUCCAUUAGACCUCGUACUUUGUGUAAAUUUUAGAUUUAGUACUUGUACUUUAAUUUGAUCAAUUUUAGUCUCUAUACUUUUCAAAAUUUCAAAUUAUAGUCCUAACCCAAUGGUAAUAGUUAGAUAUGUUUGGUUAAAUUAUGUAAUUAGUCCUGUAUUGUAACAGCACUUACUCGGCCCGGUCACCUGGCUUGAGCUACAGGAUGUUACUGUAGUAAUCGAAACUGAAAACACAUAUAGAUAAUCAUGCAAUAGUCAUUCAUAUCUCAAUAGCAAUCAUAUGAUGUUAUUUAAAUAGAAAUCAAGACUAAAUCGAGAUUACGAAAGCUCUAUAGGUGACCCGGGCAUGAAUUAGAACCAAAUUAUAAAGAUUUAAAAUUUUGGAAUUUUUGUAACGAUGCCGGAUAGUGAAUCACAUCAUGACGUCAAACCACUUGAUUUUGCGAUAUCACAAACUGUCGUUCAACGUUGUGACGAGGAAAAUUUCACGUCAAGACAAGAACCCUAUUUUUGGUAAAAUUAAGCCAUUUAGUACCUAUUUUGUGCCAGGGUAUACCAUUAGCUCAAAUAGUGCAUAUUUGCAUGACUAAAACUGCACAAAAUCAACUUAAACACAUACCAAAACAUCCGUAUAACCAACCAUAAGAUCAACCAAACCAUUUCACAUAAAUUUGACACUCUACUUAUAACACCCCUAACCCGUCUCCGUUAUCGAAUUAGGGUUAUGGAGCAUUACCAUGCAAAUCCGAACACUUUAAUAUCAAAACAUAUCAAUAAUUUCAUUUAACAACAACCACUUAAAACUAAUCAAAACCCUAGCAUACAUGUAUAUUUGGGCCUUAAAUCGGGCCUUCGAGGCCCUAAAAUCAAUUAGGGAUCCAGGACUAAAUCAAAACAAAUCAGAAUAUUUGGGAAAAAGUUGCAAAAUUUGAAAACAGGGGUCACACGGCCGUGUAACAUAUCCCAGACCGUGUAACAAUCGAACAAAGGGACACACGACAUUGUCCCAGCCCGUGUCUCAAACCAUAUAACUCAUUGAAUUGUGUCAUACGGUUGUGUUCCAGACCGUAUAACUCUUUGACUUGUGACAUACGGCCGUGUCACAGGCCGUGUGCUAGGCCGUGUAACACAUUGACUUGUUACACAAGUCUAUGUCUUAGGCCAUGUGAAAUUUACAUAAAAAAUAACAAGUGACAUACGAUAGUGUAGCCGGGCCGUGUGACAGCCCGUGUCCCAGGUCGUGUGCUCCAUAAUUUGACCUUAAAAACAAGCCAUUUCAUGGCCAAAACACACUUAAUCAACCGUCCCAUUUGUGCAUACAUUUAAAAAACCUAAACACCUUUCAAACACUUAUAAAUAUACCAUUUCAAACAUCCUAUUUCAGCUAACUAAUAUGCUAUCUAGAGGCACCACAUUUAUACCAAAACAUCAUUAACCAAAGUAAAGAAACAUAACCACAUUUCAAACACAAAACCUAGUUCCUUUAACUACCAAAUAACAUUAAUUUAACCACUCACACUUCAAACAUACCAAAAAGAACGAUAUAUUCCAAGUAUCUAAAAGUGGCUAAAAGACUUAAACUUGUCAAGCAUUAAAAGUUCAUCAAACAAGACUUAAACUCCAUAAGCAUAUUUGUACCAAAAUGAUCAUUACCACAUUCAUGAACUACCAUUACACAAAAUCCUAUACAUGUCAUUUAUAACCUUGGCCAAAAUAACUCAAAAACUACCGAAAUGGUUGUUGGAUAGUGUGAUAGAUCUCCGACAAGCUUCCAACCGAUCGAGCUUCCGAUAAUCUACGAAACAAAGGAAAGUAACUACGUAAGCAACUAGUGCUUAGUAAGCUCAUAUAAACUCAAACAUAACUUACCAUUCUUAAGCACAAAUUGUAAAAUAAGCAAAACAUCAUUACCAAGACCAUAGGCUUAGUAAAAUCCUAUACAAGCGCCAUCGAACUCACAAGUUAGUAAGUUCAUACAUGAUACAUAUAUGUUCAACAAUAUCAUAAGUAGAUUUUCAUGUACACAUCAUUUAUCACAUUAACCUUUUUAUAAAAUCAUGAACCAAUGUCCCAUUGUGUACUUACAAUGCCAUUUCCUUUACUUACCCGUUGAACCAUUUAGAAUUGCAUUGGAUACUCAGGAAUGCUCACACAUAGUGUUCAUUUUCAUAUAACCGUAACCUUUCCUUUUCAAUAGUGCUCACUGGAGCUGUGAAAUGUGUUUACUCACACGAGUUGUAGGUCGAAAUGUUAGCUACACGAUGCUGCUCACACGAGCUGUGGAGAAUUCGCAAAAAAUGCAGGACCUCAGCCAUCAGUAGGACAUUCAAGACUAGCAUCCAAAACAUGAAAUCCCAAAUGACAUGUCAUUUGUAUCCUAAGAAUUCCUAAGGUUCAAACAAGACUAUUUAUCUGUCAAUUACUCAAAACAUUGAUAUAGGUAUAAUCAAGUCCGUUUAUUAACACAAUAUAUCAGAUAAUCAAUUUAGCUAUCAUUAAUAUGAUUAAUCAUACGAACUUACCUACUAUUAUUACUCAAAACAUUGAUAUAGGUAUAAUCAAGUCCGUUUAUUAACACAAUAUAUCAGAUAAUCAAUUUAGCUAUCAUUAAUAUGAUUAUAAUUCAUACGAACUUACCUCUAUAACUAUGGUUGCAAUAGCCGAAUUAAAGUCUAGUCCAAAGCCUUAGCUUUCCCAAUUUAAGUUUGGUUGUUUUGUUUAUCUUGAUCUAAAUAGAUAACCAAUUCGGCGAGUAAGUUCAUAAUGCUAUUAUUUAAUAUUUACAAGUCAAAUAUGGUUUUCAAAAGGUUUUUGAAUUGGUAAUUUAUGUUUUAUAUGAUUAUCAGGUUCGAGUUGGGAGAUCCUAGGUCAAGUGGUUUUAGAAGUGAGGUAUCGGGACCUCAUUUCUAUAAACUGAGCCAUAAUAUUUUAUAAAUAUUUACAGAGUGUCAUUAAGGUGGUAUUAAAAUUUUAUUGAAAAUUUUUAACGUUUCUAUUGUUAAUUAAUUAAAAAGGACUAAAUUGAAAAAGGUGCAAAACUUGCUAAUUAUAAUAAUUAAGUAAUUAAAUGACUUGAUUAAUAAAUAAGGAAGAACUUAAGUAAUAAAUAUACCUAAAUUAAAGUGGUGGGAUGGCAUGUUAAGGUAAAAUAAUAAAAUAAAGAAAUUGAAUUGCAAAAUGGUAAUUUUGAUGAAAUUAAAACAAACAAAUUGAAAUUCUAAAAGCUUCCUAUGCAUUUUCUUCUUCAAUUUCAGCAAAAACCACCAUAGGAGAGGGGGUUUAAGUUGGUUUUUCAUUUUUUUGCUUCAUGUGAGUUCAAUUCUUACCCGUUUCUUAUAAUUUUUAUGUUUUUGAAAUUGUUGCAACUAGGUCCAACUAACUCGGACCUUCGUUUUUUAUUCUGUUAAAAAUUUUAGAAGUUAACAUUCAUAAAUAUUAGAUUUUUUUAUGAAUAACAUGGAUUUGGGGCUUUGAUUCUGUUGUAUGAUGAUUUUGUAAAGUGAUUUUGUUAAAUAUUGAUUUUAGGAUUAAAUUGUGAAAAUGUCAAAACAGUAGGAUUUGAUAGUGAAUUUUAGGUUUAUUAGGGGUUGUAUGAGGGCCUAGAAUAUUUGGAUAGAUUAUUGAUUGAGAAAAUUAGUUAAUUUGAUAGAUUAACUAAUUAAGGGAUUAAAUUGCAAAAGUUGUAAAAGUUUGGGGUAAUUGUGUAAAUUUGAAAAAUAAAACAGUAUUAAUCAUAAAAUGAAUUGGAAAUGAACUAUAUGGUAAUAAAUGAGUAAUUUUAUAUUCUAGAUCAAGAUCCCGUAGAUACUUGUGAAAAGGAGAAAUAGCGAAAUAAUCUUUGAACUUUUGCAAUUACUACAAUUCAGUCCAUGUAAGUUCGUACGGUUAAAAAUUUAACAUUUGUAUAAAUUGAUGAUUCGUAUUAUAUAUAUUCUAUGGUUGGAAAUAAUUUAUUAUUUGAACUAUAAUAUUGAAUUAGAUAUUCGGUUUGAGUUGAACGCGGGAUUUGAGUACAUUUGUGAUUUGGUGUAUAACAAGGGUAUGGAGUGGAGAUGGUAUUGGAAGGAGAUAUCGGCAUUUUACCUAAGUAAACUGGGGUUCAACAUUUGUUGCGAAUUCUCGUGUUUUACUUUCUGUUUGGCAUGAUUAGGUGGAUCAGCUCUUAUGAGCUUCUGUUCAGCUCUUACGAGCUUCUAUUCAACUUUCGAGCUUCUGUUGGCGUGUUUGGAACGACCAAAUCUUACGAGCUUCUGUUGACAAUGAACUCUUACCCAUAAGUCAUUCUUCGAAUGGAAAAAUCUCAGUAAGGUGAUUUAUUUAAUGAAUUUGAAAGACAUGUUAUUCAUUUAUUUUGUAUUUAUUUGAAUACAGAAGUAUUUAUUGAUUGAAGUUGUAAAUGACAGGGAGUUGUCAUGGAUGAUUUUUAUUACUUAAUUUAUUAUAGUUAGUUCGGUAAGAUUUUUGUUUAAAUCGUCGAACUUACUAAGCUUCAUUAAGCUUAUUUGUGUUGUUUAAUGUCAUUGUAGAUUUUCAGAAGGUUGGACGAUCGGAUCAGCACUCAAGUCACACUAUCCAACUUAUCUCGAUAGUUUUUGAAAGUUAAUACGGUUUAUAUAGCAUGUAUAGGCUUUUGUACGGUCUUGGUCAAAGUUUGGCUUAUAUAAAUAUUAUGAAUAAUAUUUUGUUUAUAUAACCAACUUACAUAUUGGUAUGAGAAUAAGGUAUAAUUGUGAUGUUAGUAUGAGUGAUAUAUGUAUGUAUGUAUUUAAAUUGUAGUGAACUUUGGUAACUUUGUUAGGUAAAUUAAUGAGGUAAGUUUGGAUACUUGGUUGACAUAUUUUUAAGUUGUCAUUUGAGGUGUUUAAGAACAUAUUGGUUGUAUGUGGUGAUAAUACAUGUUUAAGACUUGAUUUUAGCUUGUUUUUAAUGUCUUAUUAUGACUUGUUGAUGUGCAAUUUGUUGAGUCUAGGUUGGUAUCAGUUUGAGUGAGAUAUGUGGCUUGAAAAAUGACCUAUUUUCGUUCACACGGGCAGAGACACAGGCGUGUGUCUCAGUUGUGUGUGACACACGGUCGUGCGUCCCCUAUAUCUUCUUAAGAAUGCAAGUCAGUAUGCUCACAUGGCCUAGCACACGGGCGUGUGACCUGGCCGUGUGACCCAAGUCAGAGAGUUACAAAGGCAUAGAAGCGGGCUGAGACACGACCGUGUGUCCUUAUUUCGAAUGCCUACAUGGCCUGAGACACGAGCAUGUCUCUUGACCAUGUGAGUCACACGACUUGGGCACACGGCCGUGUGACCCCUGAAGCUUUGAAACUUUUCUACUUUUUUAGAAAAAUUCUCUGAGUUUCUGAUUUAGUCCUGACUUGUUUCUAAUGCGUAUUUUGGGCCUUGAAGGCUCAUAUAAGGGAUAGUAAAUAUGAUUUUGAUUGGUUUUAUUAUGAAUAUUGAUAAGUAAUGAAACGUUUGAAAUUUCUGUCUGAUUGAUCCGUAAAUCUUGAUAAUGCUCUGUAACCCUGUUCUGGCGACGGAUACAGGUUAGGGGUGUUACAUUUAUUGGUAUCAGAGCCAUGAUUUAGUCAAUUCUCAGACUGAACGUAGCGUGUAAAAUGUCUAGAACUACAUGCGAUAUAAAUCUUUGAUAGUGUAUGUGUAUGAUCCGAUCUAACCUUCGUUUUCUUAUAGAUUGUAAAGAUGUCAGACGGAUCUGAUUGUGUUGACAAUGAUGAGGUUAACAGUAAAGUACCGACUUUUGAACAUGGGACGAGUAGUAAUGUCCUGAUUCCUCUAGCUCAGGAACAUGAACUUAAAAAUAUGUUCUUUGGGUAUAUGAACCAGUGGUUCAGUGAGUUUAUGGAAGAAAAAAAUCUGGCUCAACAACCUCCACCCCCUAUUAUACCACCUGUUGUACCUCUGGUUGCACCUUCACCUCCUCCAGUGAUUGAACCUAAUAAACGUACUCCAAUUGAGAAACUUAGAAAGUGUGGUGCUGAAGAAUUUCGAGGCAGAUCAGAAGAUAAUCCGGUUAAAGUUGAGUACUGGCUUCAAAAUAUAUUACGGGUUUUCGAAGAAAUGGCUUGAUCUUCUAAUGACAUUCUUAGAUGUGCUUUUUCGUUAUUAAAAGAGGAAGCAUAUAGUUGGUGGUCGAGGAUAGUAGUUGUGGUACCAAAGAAGAAAAUUUCCUAGAAAUUUUUUCAGACCUAGUUUAAAAAGAAAUAUGUUGGGAAAAUGUAUUUGGACAAGAAAAAGAGAGAGUUUCUUGAGUUACGUCAGGGAAAUAGAUCUGUAGUUGAGUAUGAAAGGGAAUUUGUAUAUCUCAGUAAAUAUGAACGAGAAAUUGUACCUACUGAAGAACAAAUGUGUAUCUGAUUUGAAGAUGGUCUGAAUGAUGAAAUGCGAAUAAUGAUUGGAGGUAAUGGAAUAUGAGAAUUUGUUGUCUUGUCCGAUCGUGCACAAAAAAUGAAAGCAGUGUACAACUAUAAGAUACAACGGGAUAGACAGAUUCGAGAAUUUCACAAGAGAGGUUCUUCCAAGUCAGUUUCGACAUCACCAGCGAAAAAGACAAAAGAUGAUUUUAGCCGAGCUACCUCAAUGUCUGAACAUUCAAAUAAAAACAAGACGAUUCAAAAUGAUUUCAAAGUAUCUACUAAACAAACUAAUAGUGUGGGUAGUGUACAAAAUACUUUGAAGCUUAAGUGUAGAUAUUGCAGAAAAUAUCACCUUGGCGAGUGUAGAAGUAAAACAGGAGCUUGUUAUAAAUGUGGAUCAAAUGAUCAUUUUAUUUGUAAUUGUCCUAAAUUGCCAAAAGAGGAUGAAGAUCAGAAAGAAAAGUAAAUGUCUACCUCUCAGAAAAGUUGACGUUCGGGGUCAGAAAAGUGCUACCGGGACUACUCAUUUAGGAAUGAAAGACAUUGUCGUUCAGUCAGAGGCUAAAGUAUCUGCUCGCACCUACGCCAUUUGAGCUAGAGAGGAAACUAUUGCUCCAGACGUUAUUGUUGGUAUAUUCUAUCUCUUUAAUGUUACUGUAUAUGUAUUGAUUGACCCUAGGUCAACACAUUCUUAUAUUUGCACUACAUUAGUAACGGAAAAGAAGUUACAUGUUGAAUAUACUGAUUAUGAUAUUCAAGUUACUAAUCCACUAGGUCAGAGUGUGAUAGUUAAUUUAGUUUCUCGUAAUUGUCCACUGAAAGUUAAGGGUUGUGAAUUCCCUACUGAUUUGAUGUUGUUACCCUUUCGGGGAUUUGAUGUUAUUCUGGGUAUAGAUUGGUUAUCUUUGCAAUGAUGUCGUGGUAAACUGUAGACAGAAACGAUCGAUUUGAAAUUUCAGACAGUAGAGAUGAUUUUAGUUGAGUCUGAGAAUCCGAAAGAUGUUGUUAGAAUUAUUUCAGCCUUUUCUGCUCAGAGACUGAUACGAAAAGGUAGCGAAACAUUUCUAGCAUAUAUCAAUGAUACCCGAGAUUUAGAAUCAAAGCUAGAUUAGUUACCAGUUGUUACUGAGUUCGUUGAUGUAUUUCUUUAAGAGUUGUUGAGUUUACCUCCUGAUCAUGAAGUUGAGUUUGUGAUUGAUUUGAUUCUUGCAACUGCACCGAUAUCAAUAUCACCGUACUAUAUGGUACUAGCUGAACUAAAAGAAUUGAAAGCACAAUUACAAGAGUUAUUAGAUUGAGGGUUUAUUCGGUCGAGCUUGUCUCCUUGGGGUGCACCUGUUUUAUUUGUAAAAAAGAAAGACGGUUCUUUGAGAUUGUGUAUAGAAUAUAGACAGUUGAACAGAGCCACAAUAAAAAAUAAAUACCCUUUUCCAUGUAUCGAUGAUUUGUUUGAUCAAUUGAAAGGUGACACAGUGUUCUCGAAGAUAGAUCUCAGAUCUGGGUAUUAUGAACUGAAGGUUAAAGACUGUGAUGUGUCAAAGACUUCUUUUAGAACUCGUUAUGGUCAUUACGAGUUUCUGGUAAUGCCAUUUGGUUUAACUAAUGCCCUUGCUGCUUUUAUGGAUUUAAUGAAUCAGAUUUUUCAACCUCAUUUGGAUAGAUUUGUUGUUGUGUUUAUUGACGAUAUAUUAAUCUAUUCCAAGACAGAAUUCGAGCAUGUACAACAUUUGAGGAUCGUACUACAAACUUUGAGAGAAAAGCAGUUGUACGUAAAAUUUAGUAAAUGUGAAUUUUGGCUUCAUGAGGUUGGAUUUUUGGGUUACAUAAUAUCAGCUGAUGGGAUUCAAGUUGAUCCGAGUAAAGUUUCUACCGUGAUAAAUUGGAAAACUUCGAAAAAUAUUUAAGAAGUGCGAAGUUUUUUGGGCUUAGCAGGUUACUUUCGAAGUUAUUAAAAAAAAUUUUGAUUAUUGCUUCACUGAUGACCAGAUUAUUACAGAAAAAUGUUGAGUUUGUUUGGUCUGAUAAGUGCCAACAGAGUUUUGAUCAGCUGAAGAAAAUGUUGACGGAAGCUUCAUUCUUAACUCAGCUUGAAUCUGGAGUAGCGUAUGUUGUUUAUAGUGAUGCGUCUCUCAAUGGUUUGGGUUGUGUACUGAUGCAAUCGAGAAAGGUAGUAGCCUAUGCUUCUCGAAAAUUAAAGUAGCAUGAGAAGAAUUAUCCUACACAUGAUAUUGAAUUAGCCGCGAUUAUAUUCGUUUUGAAGAUUUAGAGACAUUAUUUAUUUGGCGAAAAAUGUUACAUGUUUACAGAUCACAAAAUUUUAAAGUAUUUGAUGACUCAGAAAGAAUUGAAUUUGAGAUGAAGGCGAUGGUUAGAAUUACUAAAAGACUACGAUCUGGUUAUUAAUUACCAUCAGAAAAAGGCUAAUGUAGUUGCAAAUGCACUUAGAAGAAAGUCGUCAUUGUUUGCACUUCGGGCAUUGAACGUUCAUUUAACUCCUAAUGAAGAUGGUUUUGUAUUAGCGGAGUUGAGAACGAAACCCCUGUUUCUACAAUGAAUUCAGGAAUUGCAAGAUGACGAUUCGAAUUUUGUGUUGAAAUGACAAAGGGUUCAGAAUAAUUUGAGUUCAGAGUACAGUGUUGAUGAUAAUGGUACAUUGCAUUGUCGCGAUAGAAUUUGCGUUCUGAGUAAUUUAGAUUUGAAAAAUGAUAUUCUUUUUGAAGCUCACAGUAGUAUGUACUAUAUUCAUCUGGAUAGCACGAAGAUUUAUUGUGAUUUGAAACAGAUGUAUUGGUGGCCGGGUAUGAAACGAGAAACUUGUGAAUUUGUAGUUAAAUGUUUGAUUUGUCAGUAGGUGAAAGCAAAACAUCAGGCACCAACGGAUUUACUACAACCUGUUAUGAUUCUUGAAUGGAAGCGGGAACAAGUCAUGAUGGAUUUCGUAUCUGGCUUACCUAUAGCUCCGAGAAAGAAAGAUUCGAUCUGGGUGAUUGUUGACAGAUUCUCUAAAUCGGUACAUUUUAUUCCAGUCAGAACAUAGUUUACACUUGAGAGAUUAGUGAAACUAUAUGUAUCUGAGAUUGUGAGGUUACACGGAGUUCCGACAUCCAUUAUUUCAGAUCAAAAUUUAAUAUUUACAUCGAGAUUUUAGAGCAAACUUCAUGAGGCUUUGGGCACUAAGCUUAAUUUCAGCAAAGCAUUUCAUUCUCAGACUGACGAGCAAUCAGAACGAGUGAUUUAGAUUCUGGAAGAUAUGUUGAGAUGUUGUAUACUCGAAUUUGAAGGUAGUUGGGAAAAAGUAUCUAACGUUAGCUAAAUUUGCAUAUAAUAAUAGUUAUCAAUCCAAUAUAAAAAUGGCACCGUUGUAUUGGUCUGAGCUGAGUGAAUCCAAAAUGGUAGGAGUUGAUUUGAUUCGAGAAACUGAGGAUAAAGUUCAGAUUAUUCGAGAUAUUUGAAAGCUGCAUCUGAUCGUCAGAAAUCGUAUGCGAAUCUGAAAAGAAAAGAUAUAAAAUUUGCUGUUGGUGAUCAGGUACUCUUAAAUGUCUCUCCGUGGAAGAAAGUGUUAUUGUUCGGCAAGAAGGGAAAGCUGAGUCUGAGAUUUAUCGGACCGUAUGAAAUUGUUGAAAGAAUCGGCCCUGUAGCUUAUAGAUUAGCUUUUCCCUCUGAACUCUAUAAAAUCCAUAAUAUGUUCAACGUAUCGAUGCUGAGACAGUAUAGAUCUGACCCUUCAAAUGUGAUUCCUCAUAGUGAGAUUGAGCUACAGUCAGAUUUAACGUAUUCAGAAGAACCAGUGAGAAUUUUAGCUCGGAAAGUCAAAUAAUUACGGAAUAAAUGAGCUCCUUUAGUAAAGUAUUGUGGCAUCGUCACGGUUCUGAAGAAGCUACCUGGGAAACAAAAGAAUCAAUGAGAUUAUAAUAUCAAAAUCUAUUUUCAGGUAACAAUUUGGAGGACAUAAUUUCCUAAGAGGGAAGAGUUGUAACAGCCCGAUUUUUUCAGUGGUGUCAAAAAUAGUGGUUUCGAGGCCACCAAAUCCGGUGAGUAAUUUUAUAAAUAUUAUUAUUUAAUAUUUACGAGUCUAAUAUGGUUUUAAAAAUAUUUUUGAAUUGGUAAAUUAUGUUUUAUAAUGAUUUAUUAGGUUCGAGUGGUAAGAACUUAGGUUAAGUGGUUUUAGAAAGUGAGGUAUCCAGACCUCGUUUCUAUAAACCGAGUCAUAAAUAUUUUUAUAAAUAUUUACGGAGUGUCAUUAAGGUGGUAUUAUAUUUUUGUUGAAAAAUUUUAACGUUUCUAUAGUUAAUUAAUUAAAAAAGACUAAAUUGAAAAAGAUGCAAAACUUGCUAGUUAUAAUACUUAAGUGAUUAAAUGACUUGAUUAACAAAUAAGGAAGGACUUAAGUAAUAAAUAUACCUAAGUUAAAGUGGUGGGACGGCAUGUUAAGGUAAAAUAAUAAAAUAAAGUAAUUGAAUGGCAAAAUGAUAAUUUUGAUGAAAUUAAAACAAACAAAUUGAAAUUCUAAAAGCUUCCUAUGCAUUUUCUUCUUUAAUUUCGGCCAAAACUGCCAUAAGAGAGGGGGCUUUAAGUUGGUUCUUCAUUUUUUUUGUUUCAAAUGAGUUCAAUUCUUACCCGUUUCUUGUAAUUUUUAUGUUUUUGAUAUUGUUGCAACUAGGUCUAGCUAACUCGUACCUUCGUUUUUAAUUCUGUUAAAAAUUUUGGAAGUUCCCAUUGAUAAAUAUUAUAUAUAUUUUUUAUGAAUAACAUGGAUUUGGGGCUUUGAUUGUUUUGUAUGAUGAUUUUGCAAAGUGAUUUUGUUAAAUAUUGAUUUUAAGAUUAAAUUGUGAAAAUGUCAAAAUAUUAGGGUUUGAUAGUGAAUUUUAGGUUUAUUAGGGGUUUUAUGAGGGCUUAGAAUAUUUGGAUAGAUUAUUGAUUGAGAAAAUUAGUUAAUUUGAUAGAUUAACUAAUUAAGGGAUUAAAUUACAAAAAUUGUAAAAGUUUAGGGUAAUCGCAUAUAUUUGAAAAAUAAAAGGGUAUAAUCGUAAAAUGAAUUGGAAAUGAAAUAUAUUUUAAUAAAUGAGUAAUUUUAUAUUCUAGAUCAAUAUCCCAUAGAUACUCGUGAAAAAGGAAAAAUAGCGGAAUAGUUCCUAAACUUCUAUAAUUACUACAAUUCAGUACAGGUAAGUUCAUACGGUUAAAAAUUUAAUAUUUGUAUAAACUAAUGAUUGGUAUUAUAUAUAUUCUAUUGCUGGAAAUAAUUUAUUGUUUGAACUAUAAUAUUGAAUUGAAUAUUCAAUUUGAGUUGAAUGCGGGAUUUGAGUACAUUCGGUGAUUUGGUGUAUGACGGGGGUAUGGAGUGGAGAUGGUAUUGGAAGGAGAUAUUGGCAUUUUACCUAAGUAAAUCAGGGUUGCGUUUGUUGCGAAUUCUCGUGUUUUACUUUCUGUUUGGCAUGAUUAGGUGGAUUAGCUCUUACGAGCUUCUGUUAAGCUCUUAGGAGCUUCUAUUCAUCUUUCGAGCUUCUGUUGGCGUGUUUGGGAGGACCAGCUCUUACGAGCUUCCGUUGACGAUGUACUCUUACCCGUAAGUCAUUUUUGGAAUGGAAAAAUCUCAAUAAGGUAUGAAUUUGAAAGACGUUAUUUAUUUAUUUUGUAUUGAUUUGAAUAUUGAAGUAUUUAUCGAUUCAAGUUGUAAAUGACAGGGAGUUGUCAUCGAUGAUUUUUAUUACUUAAUUUAUUAUAGUUAGUUCGGUAAGAUUUUUGUUUAAAAUGUCGAACUUACUAAGCUUUAUUAAGCUUAUUUGAAUUGUUUAAUGUCAUUGUAGGUUUUCAGAAGGUUGGACGAUCGGAUCAGCACUCAAGUCACACUAUCCAGCUUAUCUCGAUAGUUUUUGAAACGUUAAAUACGAUUUAUAUAGCAUGUAUAGGCUUUUGUACAGUCUUGGUCAAAGUUUGGCUUAUGUAAAUACUAUGAAUAAUAUUUUUUUUAUAUAACCAACUUACGUAUUGGUAUGAGAAUAAGGUAUAAUUGUGAUGUUAGUAUGAGUGAUAUAUGUAUGUAUGUAUUUGAAUUGUAGUGAACUUUGGUAACUUUGUUAGGUAAAUUAAUUAGGUAAGUUUGGAUACUUGGUUGACAUGUUUUUAAGUUGUCAUUUGAGGUGCCUAAGGACAUAUUGAUUGUAUGUGGUGAUAAUCCAUGUUUAAGAAUUGAUGUUAGCUUGUUUUGAAUGCCUUGUUAUGGCUUGUUGAUGUGCAAUUUGUUGAGUCUAGGUUGGUAUCAAUUUGGGUGAGAAAUGUGGCUUGGAAAAUGGCCUAUUUUCGUUCACACGGGAAGAGACACGGGCGUAUGUCUCAGCCGUGUGUGACACAAGGCUGUGCGUCUCCUGUAUCUUCUUAAGAAUGCAAGUCAGUAUGCUCACACGGACAUGUGACCUGACCGUGUGACCCAAGUCAGAAAGUUACACAGGUAGAGCCACGGGAUGAGACAAGACCGUGUGUCCUUAUUUUGAAUUCCCACAUGGCCUGAGACAAGGGCCUGUGUCCUGACCGUAUGAGUCACACGGCUUGACCACACAGCCGUGUGACCUCUGCAGCUUUGAAACUUUUUUCCAGAAAAAUUCUCUGAGUUUCUGAUUUAAUCUCGACUUGUUUCUAAUGCGUAUUUCGGGCUUUGAAGGCUUGUAUAAGAGACAAUAAAUAUGAUUUUGAUUGGUUUUAUUAUGAAUAUUUAUAUGUAAUGGAACAUUUGAAAUUUCGGUCUGAUUGAUCCGUAAGUCCUGCUAAUAUUCUGUAACCCUAUUUCGGCAACAGAUACGGGUUAGGGGUGUUACAUUUCACAUUAAAACCCAUGGAUUUUUACACUUUCAACAAUUUAAUCCCUAAUCCCAAAUUCAUCAAAAAUCACUUAAUAAAACAAGUUUGUUUAACAACUAAGAUUGUAACAUCCUCAAAACCGCCUUGGUCGUAAAUAAUAUAAGAUAAAAUCUUAGUGAAAUAAGGUAUAAUAUCAAAGAAAAUGAAAGUUGCAACAUAUAAAAAGAUAGUUAAAUCAAGAAGCAUGACAUGAUGUAUUAAGGAAAUGACUAAAUUGUAAAUAUGCAAAAAUUUCUAUGGCACAAGUAUAAAUGUAACAUCCUUAAAAUUGAUAUAUAAUAAAAGUAGUAAUAAAUUGAAUAAUGUAUAAUUGGUUUUCGGUAAAUUGAGAAAAUGAUAUAAAGAUGAUAAAUGAGAAUAUUGAGGAGUAUUAAAAUGAUGAUAAUAAUAAUGAUAAUUAAGAAGUAAGUUUUAGUAUAUUGAUUUUACUUAGAUAUUUAUUAUUAUUUUAUUUAAAAAAUGGUAGUAUAAAAGAAAAAAGGAAGGAUGAAGAAAAUUUAUCAUCCUUCUAACGUUAGUGAAAGGGUGAGAAAGGAAGUUUUCUUUUCUUUAUAAUUUAGUCCUUUAAGAGAGAAGAUGAAGUAGAGUUUCUAGAGAAUAUGUUCAUCAAUUUAGAAGCUAGAAAAUAGAAGAUGAAAUUUGAGAAAAUGAGAAGAAAAAGGAAAGAAAGUGGUGAAGAUGAGAAAUGCAUGGAAAUAAAGAAGAAAUGAUGAAAUUCUUGACAAAUGAGGUAAGUUUCAUACUAAACCUACUUGGAUUUCAAUAGAUUGAGUUAAAUAUGUUUUGAAUGAGAUGUAUAAAACAUGUAUUUAAUCUAAAUACUAGAAAUAGAAAGUAUUUGAUGAAGAAUAGAGACUUAAAACACUAAAUUGGUAAAAGAGAAUGUGAUUUGUAUGGUGAAAAGUACUAAUAUUGAGAAAUGAAUAUGCAAUCUACACAUAAACAUAAGUGGCUAAAUUGUUUAGUAAUCAAAAGUACGGCAAUUAUGUGUGAUUGAAUAAAAGAUAGUGCAAAAAACCUUGGAAAAGAAAAUAUUUUCAUUAAAACAGUUUGGACAGCAGCAGUGACUUAAAUUUGAGAACGCACCAAAAAUUAUAGAAAUUUAGUUAGAGAUUGAAUUAAAUAUGGAAUUAAAUAUUAUUGAGUCUAUUUCAUAUGGAAGAAACAAUGAAAGAAACAUAAUUUUAUAGUUUGAGAUAUAUUAAUUUUCGUGAAAUGAGGUCGGAGUGGAUUCGGGUUCCCCUGUUCUGACUUUGGAAAAUCAUCAAAAAUUGUAAAAAAAAUGAUUAUAGGUUUAAAUUUAUAUAUUUAAAUUCUUAAUGAGUCUAUUUUCAAAAGAAACAAAUAGAAACAUCAUCCAAACCCCGUACUAAGAGAUAAUUAAUUUUUAGUAAAGAAAGGUUGAAGCUGUCAAGCAGCAAAACAGGGACAAAUUUGAAGAAUUUACUGUACUUAUUGGCUUAAUUAUAAAUUCUGACAUUUUUAUGGUAAAAAUAUAUUUGAGUCUAGUUUCAAAAAUAUCAAGCGUAUCUUAAUUUUGAAUUCUGUAGCUCAAGAUAUAAAUAAUUAAGUAACUAUAACUCAAGUGGAUAGCUUUGAUAUGAACACAUAAGUAAAUAGUUGAAUUAUAGAUAAUGUUACAUAUAAGCAUGUUAUAUACUAAAAGCUAAAGAUUCUAACAAUUAUAUACAUAAAGGAUGUGGAAUGGAGAGGAUGAGGAGGAAAAAUAUAUGAAUAUAUAUAUAGUAGAUGAAUAUGAAAUGUUUCGAUAUGGUUGUAGGUGAUGGAAUGAUUAAUAUAUGUGAGUAUGUUUAAACGAAUUGAUAAAAUAAUAAGUGAAUAAUUGUUAAUUGAUGUGAUAUUGAAUCCUUUGUUAAAAAUUUAUGAAGAAUUAAAUUUAUUGGCACACUUUAGAAAUAAAUAUGAAAUAUACAUAAAGUGGGUAAACUACUUUUGAAAGUGCAAGUCCUCCAAUGGUCUUAUUUGUAAAACUUUAAUAUUUGUGUUAAUUUUAUAAACUUUGUUAUCUUUAAUUGAAUAUCAUGUUUUUAUGAGAACUUGAGAUUAGAAAUAGUUGUAAGUGGAUGAUAUGUAAAAUGAAGUGGCGGUUAUGACAUUUGAAUACAGUUCAGGUAAUGAUAUAAAAUAAAUAAAAAUAAAGCGUCCAACUUGUAGGAAAAUAAAAACGAUAUCACGAUGACAAGUAUGCCAUGUCACGAUGUGGAAACCCCAACGCCAUAACGACAGUUCAAAAAUUUUUAUGAACUUUACAAUUUGGCUUUUGAUCAAUUGUGGAUAUUUAAUAAGCUCCUUUACCUCAUAAUUAGUUCUAUCGUAAAUUCAAUUAUUACUAAAAUUAGUUAAUAAUCUACAUUAAUUAAAUAAUAUGAUAAAUUGAUCUGAACUUUUUUAGUAGCUGCUUCGACAACGAAUGUGGCAUCCUGAUGCCUUGACUCAGCGAUCGAGUCGGGUAUGAGGGUGUUACAAAGAUUAAGACAUCCACAAUUGACCAAAGGCCAAAUUGUAAAGUUCAUAAAAAUUUUUGAACUGUCGUCGCGACAUUGGGGUUUCCACAUCGUGACAUGGUGAACUUGUCAUCGUGACGUCGUCUCCAUUUUCCUACAAGUUCCACGCCUUAUUUGUAUUUGUUUAUUUUAUAUCAUUACCUGAACCGUAUUCAGAUUUCAUAAUCGCCACUUCAUUUUAUAUAUCAUCCACUUACAUCUAUUUCUAAUCUCAAGUCCUCAUAAAAACAUGAUAUUCAAUCAAAGAUAACGAAGUUUAUAAAAUUAACACAAAUAUUAAAGUUUUACAAAUAAGACCAUUGGAGGACUUGCACUUUCAAAGUAGUUUACCCACUUUAUGUAUAUUUCAUAUUUAUUUCUAAAUUGUGCCAAUCAAUUUAAUUCUUCAUAAAAUUUUAACAAGAAUUCAAUAUCUCAUCAAUUAACAAUUAUUCACUUAUUAUUUUAUUAAUUUGCUUAAACAUAUUUACAUGUAUUAAUCAUCCCAUCACUUACAAUCAUUUUGAAACAUUUCAAAUUCAUCUACUAUAUAUAUUCAUAUAUAUUUUUCCUCCUCCUCUCUAUUCCACAUCCUUUAUGUAUAUAUUUGUUACAAUCUUUAGUUUUUAGUAUAUAACAUGCUUAUAUGUAACAUUAUCUAUAAUUCCACUAUUUACUUAUGUGUUCAUAUCAAAGCUGUCAACUUGAGUUAUAGUUACUAAAUUAUUUAUAUCUUGAGCUACAGAAUUUGAAAUUAAGAUACGCUUGAUAUUUUUGAAACUAUACUCAAAUAUAUUUUUACUAUAAAAAUUUUAGAAUUUAUAAUUUAGCCAAUCAAUACAGUAAAUUCUUCAAAUUUGUCCCUAUUCUGUUUCUUAAUAGCUUCGACCUUUCUUUACUAAAAAUUAAUUAUCUCUUAGUACGGGGUUUAGAUGAUGUUUUUUUAUUUAUAUUGAAAAUAUACUCAUUAAUAAUUUAAAAAUAUAAAUUUAAACCCAUAGUAAUUUUUUUUAACAAUUUUUGAUGAUUUUCCAAAGUUAGAACAGGGGAACCUGAAUCCACUCCGACCUUGUUUCACGAAAAUUAAUAUACCUCAAAAUAUAAAAUCAUGUUUCUUUCACCGUUUCUUCUAUAUGAAACUAGUCUCAAUAAGCUUUAAUUCCAUAUUUAAUUCAAUCUCUAACUAAAUUUAUAUAAUUUUAGGUGAAUUUUCAAAGUUAAGUCACUGCUGUUGUCCAAAUUGUUUUAAUGAAAAUAUUUUCUUUUUCAAUGUUCUUUGCACUAUCUUUCAUUCAAUCACACAUAAGUGUCAUACUUUUGAUUACUAUAAAAUUUAGACACUUAUGUUUAUGUGUAGAUUACAUAUUCAUUUCUUAAUCUUAGUACUUUUCACUAUACAAAUCACAUUCUCUCUUACCAAUUUAGUGUUUUAAGUCUUUAUUCUUCAUCAAAUACUUUCUAUUUCUAGUAUUUAGAUUAAAUACAUGUUUCAUACAUCUCACUAACAUCUUUAACUCAAUCUAUUGAAAUACAAGUAGGUUUAGUAUGAAACUUACCUCAUUUGUCAAGAAUUUCUUCAUUUCUUCUUCAUUUCCAUGCAUUUUUCAUCUUCACCACUUUCCUUCCUUUUUCUUCUCAUAUUCUCUCUUAAUAUCUAAGGAAAUUUUCAAAAAUUUUGGGAAAAAAUGUAGGUUUUCAUGGCAAAGGAGUAAAUUGUAAAGAAAAGAAACUUUCUUUCUCACCCUUUCACUCACGUUGAAAGGAUGAUAAAUUUCUUUUAUCCUUCAUUUCUUUUUAUAAUACUAUUUUUUAAAUAAAAUAAUAAUAAAUAUCUAAGUAAAAUAUUAAUAAAAUAAUAUUUAACUAAUUAAUUAAAAAAAUCACUAAAAUAUCAUCAACAUCAUCAUUACAUUCUAGAAUUCUCCCUCUUACUAAUUGACCAUUUUACCUUUUAUGAUUUUUCAAAAUUCGAUCCUUGAAUCACCGCUUAAUUUAGUAAAAUUGUGAUUUAGUCCCUCACAGUUCUUUACCUAUUAAAUUUGGUCCCUACAUGUCAAUUUCAUAUCUUAGUAAAUUGGAUUAUUUUCACUUUUGGUCCUUCAACUUUCUCAUUUUUACACUUCGACCCCCUAAAUUUUGAAUAUCUACACUUGAGUCAAAAAAUUUUCACAUAUUUACGAUUCAGUCCCUUCCUUAAUACAUCAUGUCAUGCUUCUUGAUUAAACUCUCUUUUGAUAUAUUGCAACUUUUAUUUUAUUUGAUAUUAUACUUUAUUUCGCUAAGAUUUUAUCUCAUAUUAUUUACGACCAAGGGGGUUUUGAAGAUGUUACACAAACUCAACUAUGGAAAGUCCCUCAACCUUUAACAAUUUUGCAAAUUAACCCCGGGCUAGCUAGAUUAAGCUAAUACGAGCUCAAAAACAUAAAAAUCACUAAAAAUGAGCUUGAAUACAUAAAAAUUUCUUAACGAAACUUUAAUACGACCCUAAUAUAAUCCCAUAGACUUUAAAUAAAUAUUAAAAUAUUCAUUCUCUCGUCGAAAUCAUGGUUCCGAAAUCACAAUUUUCAAAACCACUAAAAACGGGCUGUUACAUUGCUAAUCAUAAAUAUUGGAUUUGAUGUCCUCAGUGUAGUAUUUUCGUCUAAGAACACUUGUAAUUUUUUUCGAUCAGAUUGGUUAAUAAAAUUAUUCAUAAAUGACAUUAAUAUACUUUAUAUUAGUUUUCUUAAAUGAUUUUUGCACGCAAAGCAGAAUAGAAGCAAAUGUUGCUCAUUAGUUGUCUAUUGUUUAACUGAUACUAAACGAUAUUACAUGGUCAGAUAGUAGUAUGAAAAGAUAGCUUGUAUUAGUAGACGAACCUAAACAUUUUCUUAGUCUAAUAAGAAAUGAGCAAACUGAUUGAAAGACUAAUAUGUUGUCUACCAAGUCCAAUUGGGAAGAUGCCUUAGCCUUUGGCGUGGAUGACUGUAAGAAGAUAGAGACAUAGAUGUAAUUGACUAGAUUGAUGACUUGAUCACUAUUUGGUAGUGAUUGACUUUUCAUGAAGGAAGAUGUAAUGGUUACCAUGAGAUAAAAUAGGAUCAUAUUGGGAGAAUGAAUAUUAUCCCAGACAGAUGAAGGAUAUCCUAUGAGGGUAACACACUUAAGAAAAGGUCAUUGAACAAACACUGAAUAGUCGCUUUCGUAAUGGUAUGUCGCUGAGGAGAGCUCAGUCACGAUAUUAUAGUGGAAUGACUUCAUGACUAAAUGAGUUUAUAAUUAAUAGGCGAAAAGCUGAAACUUAAUUAUAAAUAAUUUGAGCCUCAACUAUAUAUGUCCGAUUGGUCCCUCCACUAGCUCAUUGAAACCAGAAAUGAACUGCGUGUUUUGAAUAGAAAUGAACGGAAUGAAUAGAAAAAAAGAAGAAAAGAGAAACAUUCAGGAAUGAUUAUGGUUUUCUUUGAAAUGGAGAAAUGGAAUAAUUUGGAAAUAAAUGUAGGUUUUCAAAAAUGGAAAUGAAAAUGAAAAUGGAAAUUUAUAAUCCUAUAUGGAUUAUUUAAAAAUGAUCGGAAUAAUGAGUUUAUGUUUUUGGACUAUUUUGAAACCCGAAAAUGAAAAUAAAUCAUUCAAACAAAGUGAGCAUGUUGAGUUGUGAAAUAUUGAACAUAUUUUCUCGAAAUUUUACUAGGGACAAAGUCGUUAAAAUUUUACUAGGGGUAAAAUCAUCAAAAUUUUGUUGGGGGUAAAAUAGGAUGAGAAAUUUGUUUUAUAUAUAAAUAUUAAAUUUUAUUUUGGAAAAUAGAAAAACUGAAUCAAGUUGAAUCACAUUACAGAGUACAAGGUCAAAAAGAGCCUAGGAAGUACUCGUAAUUGGACCUGAUGUGAGCUAGGCCCAAAACCCUUCAUGUAAAAUGAAGGGGUGACAACCCUAGUAGGAAUACUAGAGUGUGUCGUCUGAGCUAGGCCCAAAACCCUUCAUGUAAAAUGAAGGGGUGACAACCCUAGUAGGAAUACUAGAGUGUGUCGUCCACCUCUCUCCUACUUUAAGUUGAAAGUCAUUUUUCUAUUUGAAAUAAACUACUACAACUCAACAAUGGUUCUACUAUCUCCUCUUACAAAUAGAUGCCACCAGUAAAGUUAUUUACAAUUUUUUUUGAUAGAUUGUUAUUUUUUUGAAAUAUAGAGAAAAUUAAUUCUCAACUAUUAAAUAUAUCUUUCUAGAAUAACAAUUUUACUGUCACAUCCCAAAAAUCGGGUUAGUAUAAAUGGGCAUUAGAUUGUGGACUGGAGAGAAAAAUUGGGUUUUGUGUCAUAGGAGUUAAAAUAGGAUAAUAUAAAUAAUUAGUUAAUAAUAGUAAAAAUAAUAAUGGUAUUAAUAAUUGGGACAUUAGUAAAAAUUAAUACAGACUAAUUUGGAAUAGCGAUUAAAGUAGAGGUUAAAUGUGUAAAUUAAGGCUAGUAGUUAAAAAGGGAGUUAUUAGAACAAGAGAGAAAUAUGAGAUGACUUAGAGGGUAAAUAGCCCAAUUUUUUUUAAAAAUUAGUUGGGUAUAAAAGUCACUAACCUUUCCAAUUUCUCUCCAUCCUUCUUCAUUUUAAAUAUUGGUUUGAUCUAGAUUGGAAAAUUUUCUCUAAAAAAAUUCUGCAUCUUUUUUUAUUUUCUUGGUAGCCAAACACUCUGUAUUCUUUCAGUUUUACAAGAAAAUCACUCUUUCUUCUCCAAUUUCUCACCUAAACUUAGCUCGUUUUUGCUCAAUGGUGCAAAUUCAUGGAGGUUUUCGAACUACAGGUAAAUCUAUUGUUUUCUUAUGUAUUAAAUUUUUAUUAGCUAUUUUUAAUUUCAAUUUUUAUAGAUCUAAGUAAGAAAAAUAAAGAUCCGUGGUUUUAAAGCUAUCUUUUGCAUAAAAAUGGUGAAUCUGAUAAUAAAGAGCUAAUAUAUGUAUUUAAAAUUAUUUUUAGUAUAUUUUGACGAGAUUAAAAGGUUUACAAAUUCAAUUUAUCAAAAUCUUUAAGUAAUUGCAUGAAUUAAACGGUUUUCUUUUGAGAAUGAGGAUGAACAAUAAUCUUUUUGAAAAAAUAUUAAUUAAAGAAAUUGAGCAAAGUUAACGAUCUAGAUAUAUAAUUAAACCUUAGUUAAGGGGUUAAGAGGUAGAAAUUAAGGAUUUAAUUAAGUUAAAAAGAAGAAAUUAAACGAAAUAGAUUGUAGGAAAUAAGUCGAAUAAGUAUGUGUGAGUGGAAAGUCAUUGUAUGAACACAAAGAGAUAAGAUAGAUUGUUUUUGAAUGAUUAGUAAUAUGUAUAUUUUUGUGCAAAGCUGAAAACAUUGGUGGAGCCUCAACAAACUGAGAUAAAGGCAAGCAUAAAGUUGUCUAGUUUAAUGAGUUGUGGUGAACUACAGGUGAGUGCAUUUGUAUGCUGUAAUUUAGCAUGAAUUACGAGAUCUAGAGAGUCGAGACGAGGCUUGCGAACCCCCAUUUGUGGCGAAUCUUGAAUUUUUCCUGGUGUAAUUCUUGCAAUUUAUUUGAAUUGUUGAGUAUCCAUGUUGUGCAAAUUUAAAAGGUAUGUGUAUAUAUAAUAUAUACAUAUAUAUAUAAUAUAUAUGGGUUUUGGUGUUAUAUAUAAUAUAUGUACGUGCAUGGGUGUUAUAUGAAUAAUAUAUUUGGGUCAUGGUGUUAUAUGUAUAAUAUAUUUACCUGGGUCAGUAUAUACAUAGUACAUAUAUAUGCGUGGUUCUGCUAUACAUAAUAUAUAUGUGUGGAUUUUAUUAUAUAUAAUUUAUAUGCGGUUAUAGGUUUUGUGUUAUCUAAUAUAUAUAAAUAUAUAUGAGACUUUUAAUGUAUUCUAAAAUUUUGAUGUGACAAAGGUCACUAAAUAAAUAUUUAUAUAUCUAAUGUAUAUUUGUAUAUGGUUUUAUAAUUUUUGCGAACGAAAAAAAUAAAAAAAUAAAAAAUAUAAUAUGGAUUUUUAUAACAUGCGAAUUCUAUUGAUAAUGCACAUUUAUGCAUGCACGUACCCGUAAGAGAAUUAUGAGUUUUAUGAUAUUUUGAGUUUUGAUUAGUACAAAAUUAUAUUAUUGCGAAAUACUAAGUGCGAGCUCAACAAUAGUGCGAGUUGGAGAUAGCGCUAGAGAGAUAAGGGAAUGUCGAGCAUAGCUCCAUUCACCGUAAAUAGUGUGGUGUGUUUGGAGAGUGUGAGCAUACGUGCUACACUUACAUGGAGAUAGUGUACGACUUUAUAAGUCAUGUGGUGUGUUUUGGAGAUCCGUUUAUCCAAUGAGUAUAUAAUUUGACUAUGUUUCAUAUUCACAAAUUGCCAAUAUAUCACUGUGUCGAGUAUGUAAUUUGUGUUAUAUGUGAAUUGUUAAAGUAUGUUUAAAUCCUAACAUGUCUGGUGUGUAUAUUUUUGAUGUAUGCAUGUGUACUUACUGAGCUUCUCCAAGCUCACACUCCUUACUUUACUUUGAAGAUAAAUAGUUUGCGGGUUAGCGAGGAGGAUGGCAAAUCGGUGAUCCAUCGCAAUGCAUUUUUUUUAAAGUAUGUGUGUUGAGCUUUUAAACUCCAAAGUGAAGGCAAUGCGGGUCAUUCCAAGGGUUUAGUACUAGAAUUAGACUUAGACUUUUUAAAUAAUUUUUUAACGGGUUGUAAACAAACAUUACUGACUCUUUAUUUUUUAUAGAUUUUUUAAUGUUAUAAUUGCUUGCUUGAUGGCUUAUUUGGAUGAUUUUAUUACUUGAUUAUUGUGAUGAUAAUUAAAUGAACUAACAAAUUUUUGUAGCUAAGGGAGACCAUCGAGUAUUAAGGUACGCCCUAUACCUUUUGAUUGUGUGAACUAAAUGAUUAAUUUAGAAAAGCAUGCACUUAGGUCUGAUUUCCUAUAUGAAAAAUUCUACAAAUGUGUGGUGUGUACGGUUGUCAGUGUGGUUUGUAAAGUUUUAAAUGGAGAGUCACCUUAGUGGUUAAUGUGAUGUUCGAAAUUCGGGUUGGAUCGUCCCAAUUAGGUUUGGGGAGUCACAUUUAGUGGUAUCAAAGCCAGGUUUACAAAAACUCGGGCAAAGCCACAGUUUUUGACAAAUUAGCAUUAUUGAAAAUAUAAAUACGUUGAUUUUAAAAAUUAAUAAAAAUGAAAAUGUUUAAAUCUUUUUGACAAAAAUAACAUUGUGUGAAAAGUAGUUGUAAAUAGGGUAGGAAUGAGAACACAUUGCCUUCUUUGAAAGUGUUUUCUUGAAAAUUUUCCUUAGAUCACUUGUUACUUUUCACUUUCCCGUUUUAUAUAAAUUUAUGCAAAUAGUAGAUAGAAUGCCUCCUAGACGUGGGUGUCUGAUUGCUAAUGCACUGGUGGAACCACCUCAAUGGAAAGCUACACUUAGAACUGGUUUUGAGCCCUUGGUUCAAGCGAUUAUUGGGGUGUUUCAAAGGAUAGCUGGCGGGAACCUUGCCAUAGCUGCCAAAGGGUUGCCAUUCGAACGAGUCUAAGCUUUGGAUGGUAAAGAAUUUCGGGGAGCUAAAGGAGCUGAUCCGACCAUUGUUGAAUAUUGGUUGGAGAGUUUUGAAAGGAUCAUUAAACAUAUGGGAUGCUCGGAUGAUAGGAAGUUUGGUUGCAUCGUAUCCUUACUAAAUGAUGAAGCUCAUCACUGAUGGAAUACGGUAAAUAGAGGGACUGUUGCUGAUCACCUGACUUGGGAAUUCUUUUUGGAGUCUUUCCGAAAGAAGUACUUGGGAGAGUAGUAUGUGGAUGUUAGAAAGAGGGAGUUUUUGGAUUUAGUCAAGGAAAAUAUGUUUAUGGUUGAGUACGAGUCUGAGUUUGUGCGGCUUAGCUAAUAUGCUCCAGAGAUGAUAUUCUUUGAGAAUGAAAGGUGUAAGAGGUUUUGAUUUGGACUAAAUCGAGGCAUUCGAGUAUAUCCAGUAGCACAGAGUACUGAGUCCUUUAAUGAUUUGGUGGAGAAGGUUAAGGUAGUAGAGGAGACGUUGAUCAAGCCAUCGAGAUCGGUAGUAUUUGAGUCCGAUAAAAGGGGCUCCGAUCGAUCAGGAUCAUCUGGAAGGCCAAGGUUGAAAAGCUAUUGAGUAAAGGUUACGAAUCUUACGUAGCCUAUGUACUCAAUUUGAGAAGUAAGGAUUUGAGGGUUUUAGAUAUCCGCACUGUGAGAGAUUUUCCUAAUGUGUUUCUAGAGGAGCUACCUAAUUUUUUGUCAGUCCGAGAAGUUGAGUUUGAUAUUAAGGUUUAUCUUGGUAUCGUACCGGUGUCCGUUGCACCUUAUCGUAUGGCAUCGAAAGAACUCAAAGAGCUGAAGACCUAGUUAUGAGAGUUGUUGGAUCGAGGGUUUAUUUGACCGAGAGUAUUGCUUUGGGGUGCACCGGUGUUGUUUGUAAAGAAGAAAGAUGAUACCUUGAGGCUGUGUAUCGAUUAUGGACAGCUGAGCAAGUUAACCAUCAAGAACAAGUAUCUGUUGCCUUGGAUUGAUGACCUAUUUGAUUAGUUUAGGAGAGCGUCAGUGUUUUCGAGGACUGAUUUGAGGUCUUAGUAUUAUUAGCUCAAGGUGAAAGAGGUUGAUAUCCUAAAGACUAUUUUCAGGACUCGGUAUGGGCAUUACAAGUUUUUGGUUAUGUCGUUUGUGUUGACAAAUACACCUGUAGCAUUCAUGGCCCUGAUGAAUCAGAUUUUUCACUCAUAUUUGGAUCAGUACAUAGUUUUCUUUAUAUAUGACAUUCUCGUGUAUUCUUGAAAUGAGGAUGAUCAAGAUGCACAUCUACAGAUUGUUCUUCAGAUUCUACAUGAGAAGCAACUAUAUGUGAAGUUGAACAAGUGCGAGUUCUAGCUUCGAGAGGUGAUGUUUCUUGGUCAUAUGGUAUCUUCUAGGGGAUUCAUGUUGACCCAAAGAAGGUCGAGGCUAUUCUAGAAUGGAAGCAGCCGAGGAAUGUUACUGAGGUCCGAGGUUUUCUAGGAUUAGCUGGUUAGUUCUGUAGAUUCUUUUAGGGGUUCUUCACCAUAGUUGCACCCUUAACGAAGCUACUUCAAAAGAAUGUGUCUUUUGAGUGGAUCGAGGAGAGAAAGAAGUGCUUUUAGAAGCUUAAGACAGUUUUGAUUAAGGUGCUAGUGUUGAUUCAACCAAAGUUUUGGAAAAAGCAUGUGGUUUACAGUGAUGCAUCGUAUAUGAGACUCGGGUGUAUUUUGAUGCUGGAUGGGAAGGUGGUAGCGUAUGCUUCGAGACAGUUGAGGCCACAUGAGCAUAAUUACUCGACCCACGAUUUGGAGUUAACUGUUGUGGUCUUUGCGCUCAAGAUUUGGCGUCACUAUCUAUGUAGUGAGAGAUGUGUUAUCUACACCGAUCACAAGAGUCGUAAGUACCUCCUAUCCCAAAAGGAGUUAAACUUGAGAUAGAGGUGUUGGAUUGAGCUACUGAAAGAUUAUGACUGCGUGAUUGAGUAUCAUCUCGGCAAAGCAAAUGUGGUUCCUAAUGCUUUGAUUUGGAAGUUGAUGGUUGAGUUACGAACUAGGUUUGCACGGUUGAGUUUAACCAUUAAUGGUGGUUUAUUGGCUGAACUUCAGGUGAUGAGUUUUUGGCAACUCCAUCAAAUUUUCAUACCAAAGAACUACAUCAAUAUCACUACAUAAACUUAAUCAACUACCUUCAAAAGUACCCAUUCAAAAAGCUCCAACCUUAACUUACCAUAUUGCCAAUAUGCACACACUUUUAUACAUCAUACCUCAAUAUUCAAUUUCCAAAAUAACAUAUAUACAAUACGACUCCUAUUUACAUUCCAUGCAACCGAGUUUUGAAUAAUUUAAAAGACUACCGAGACAUAAGCUAGAUAUGUUAGCUCAGGGAGUGAUUCGAUUGACACGUACCGCAGAAUGCCAACUAUAGAAAAUAGAAAAUAAAACAAAGUAAGCAUUAAGUAUGCUUAGUAAGUUCAUAGGUUUUGAAAUAUUAAAACUCACCUCUUAUCAAAGUAACAUACAAAUUAACUAAAAUAUGAUUUUCCUGUCACCACAUUUCACAAAUACAAGGUGAGUAUAUUGCAUUCAACCAUAUAACAUUUCAAUUCAUUCCAUUCGAUACAAUUCCUUGUUAUUCCAUUAUAACAUCCAUCUGAAUCACAAGAAACAUAUUACCAUUCAAUUAACAUCUCUUUUACAUUAACCAUUUAGCCAGAUGAACUAUAAUAAACAAAUAUGGAUACGCGGGUAACUACCAAAAACACACCUGAUUGCUUAAAUAAGUUAUACCACCAAUAGAUAGGGGUGAGCGUUUGAUCAAAUAGAAUCGAACUGAAUGAAAAUUUUCAAGUUAAUCGAGUUGACAAAUCCUAUUUUAUCAUCCUAACUCGAUUUGAAAUUUUCUCGAAUUGAGUCGAGUGAGAUGGAAUUCGAAUCGAAUCGAAUAUAUUUGUUCGAGUUCAAUUUUAAAAAAUGAAUUUAAAUCCUUGUAACUAUUGUCACUCACCAUAAUCAAAUUUGUUAUUAGCUUUCAUCCUCUCAUAAUUUAUUUAUUAAUCUUUUAUACAGGGGUUAGUUUCUUUGUUUGUGUUAGAGAUCGACCCGGUUAAGCAACAAGUAACAAAAAUAGAGGAAUAAAUUGAGAAAUUGAACACACAAAUUUAACGUGGAAAAACCCCUCCAAAGAGGAUAAAAAACCACGGGUAAAGAUAAUUUUACUAUAAUGGCAAAAGAAUGAAGAGUACAAAAGAUGGAGAUAAAACUAAACCCUAAAAACCCGAAAACAAAGAACCCUCAAAACGUAAACACAAAAUUCUCUAAAUGUGUUAUGAGUUCUAAUAUCUAAUGGGUGUCUUUACUAAGGUUGUAAAAGAGCCUAUUUAUAGGUUAAAUUCAUAUGUCAAAUAAUAAUAAAAUAAUCUAAACUAAUCAGUGUUUGACUGAAACAAAUAAACAGAGUUUAACUAAAAGAUUAUUUCUCAAACUUGACUGAAAAUAGGAGUCAUACUUAACAAAUCUCCACCUUGACUCAUCUUUCCACAACGCCAUCUUUACCAAAGCCCGCCACGAGCCUAUCUUGAACUAUGCAGGGAAUUAACUGAGUCGAAUCUGUGCUUAGAAACUGGAAGACUUCUAGCCUUCGACUUGUACACUGCCAAAUCAAAACUAACCCAGGUCUGAUUUUCAAGAACACAGUGCCUUAACUUUUCAAAACCUGCAUCCAAAAGAGAACCUCUCUUCAACAAAACGGUCAUACAUUUUCCCUCCUAUGACCAAGUUGCCUCCGCUCCAAACGAGUUGACUUCGACUCUAUAACGGAUGAGGGACAUUCGAUUUCACCGGUCAUUGUAGAACCUUCCAGAAUAUAAAGACUACCAGUUCUUUUACCUUUUAACAAAAUGAGAGCUCCACGAGAUACUUUAAUACCGCUCGACUCAAUGUUGAUUUUACAUCCUUUCAAGUCUAAAAUACUCAAGGAGAUGAGAUUCUUUCGUAAAUCAGGUACAUACCUGACAUCUGAGAGUGUCCUAAUUGUCCGAUCGUGUGUCCUAAUUUUAACAGUUCCAAUACCAACUACCUUACUAGAUGAAUCGUUUCUCAUGCGUACAACUCCACCUUCAACAGAACUGUGUGUAGAGAACCAUUUUCUAUUGGAACACAUGUGGAAAGAACAUCCCGAAUCUAGGAUCCACUUGGACAUGAGCUUGGAGUUAUCGCUCGUUGACACUAACAAGAAAUCAUCACCGCUUUCAUCGGCCAAAUUAGCACCAGCUACAUCUUCCUCAUUACUCUUAGCAACUCUUUUAUUUCACAGUUUAUAACAAUCUUCUUUGACGUGACCUAACUUUUUACAAUAGCGACACCUUUUGUCUCGUUUCUUUGAUGCUACUAAAACGGAAGCUUGCCUAUCUGCCUUGCUAUCCAAUAAAGCUCAUUGUCGAGUUUGUCUCUACUCAACAAAUGACCCUUCACAUCUUCAAACGAGAUUUUGUCUCUGCCAUAAAUCAGGGUCUCCCUGAAAGACUUGUAUGAAGGGGGUAAAAAACACAAUAAUAGCAUAGCUUGAUCUUCAUCAUCAAUAUGAACCUCAAUGUUCUUUAAAUCAUUAAAAGAUUAAUGAAUUGACUGAUGUGAUCUCUAAGAAGCUCAACUUUGUUCAUGCGAAACGUAAAUAGAUGUUGUUUCAACACUAAAUGGUUAGCCAAAGAUUUAGUCGCAUAAAGAGUUUCUAACCUUUUCCACAAGGCGGAUGAGGUCUUCUCCAUCAAUACCUCCUGCAAUAUCAUAUUUGUGAGGCACAACUGGAUUGUAGACAAGGCCUUUUCAUCAAGCUCUUCCCAUUCUGUUUUAUUUAGAUUCUCAGGCUUUUUCUCGGUAACAACCUUUUUCAAACCGGAUUGAACUAAAAUUGCCAUCAUCCGAACUUGCUACAGAUUGAAAUUUGUCUCACCAUCGAACUUCUCAAUUUCAAACAUUGUUGUUGCCAUAUCUGAAUGGGCUGAUCUUUGAACUAGCUCUGAUACCACUUGUUAGGGAUCGGCCCGAUUAAGCAACAAGUAACAAAAAUAGUGGAAUAAAUUAAAAAAUUGAACACACAAAUUUAAUGUGGAAAAUCCCUCCAAAGAGGAUAAAAAACUACGGGCAAAGAUAAUUUUACUAUAAUGGCAAAAGAACGAAGAGUACAAAAGAUGGAGAUAAAACUAAACCCCAAAAACCCAAAAACAAAGAACCCUCAAAACGUAAACACAAAAUUCUCUAAAUGUGUUAUGAGUUCUAAUAUCUAAUGGGUGUCUUUACUAAGGUUGUAAAGAGCCUAUUUAUAGGCUAAAUUCAUAUGUCAAAUAAUAAUAAAAUAAUCUAAACUAAUCAGUGUUUGACUGAAACAAAUAAACAGAGUUUAACUAAAAGAUUAUUUCUCAAAUUGGACUGAAAAUAGGAGUCAUACUUAACAGUUUGCUUAGUUGCUUCAAUUAUCUUCUGAUUCUUGUCACUAUGUAUUUUGAAAUUAAAAAUAUAUUAAAUGUAAAAAAUGAUUUUUUAAUAAAAGUUAUCUUAAAGAUAAAAUGUGAAAUUGAUAUCAACAUAAAAUUUUAACACGAAUAUUUUAUGGCGUCAUCAAUAAUUUAAUUUUAACAUAAAUUUAUAAAGAUUCAAUAUGAUUAAACAAAUCAAUAAUAUAAAUAGUACAAAAUGUGAAAUUUAAUUUAAUAAUAUAAAUAGUAGAUAUAAAUAAAAUCAUUACUAUUUAGGUUUAAAUAUUUUUUUAGAUGAUUUUGAUUUUGGAUUUAGGGGUAAAGGGUGAGAAGUAAAAUUUUACGGGGAAAAUAAAAAAUUUGGGGGACGUAAAAUUUUGGGGGAAAAGUGGAAGGGAGUAAAAAGUUUUAGGUGGAAAGUAAAAAGAUUUGGGGUAAAAAUGUAAAAUAUUAUAGUUUGAUAUUUGGUUUAUUUGAAUUAUUCGAAUUAUUCGAAUUUGAAAACUCAACUCGAUUCGAACUUAAAAUUUGAAAAAAAAAAUCAAGUUAACUUGAAUAACUCGAUUAACUCAAAAUUUGAAAAAAAAUUUGAUUUUUUCGAGUCGAAUCUAGUUUUGCUCAACUCUACCAAUACACACUUGAGCAUCAAAGUGUGAAGAACAGAGGCUACACUAUCCUCUAAAACACAACAGGAUCUCUGUAGAGAUAAUCGAUAACAGUGGUCUCUGUAGAGACAAACUCAGUAAUCUGCAACAAAUGCUGGAUUUCAAUAACAAUAACUUUCUGCGUACAUUAGCACAUUCAGUAUAAUUUAUUUUACAUAACCCGUAUAGUGUGCAAAUAACCCUAUCGACAUUCUAAUUGUGUCUUAUUCUAACGUUCAUUCGGGCACAAUUUACACAACAGUAUCAUUGAUUCCAAUAUAGUCCAUUCAUCACCUUUUUAUAUCAAUUUGUAUAUAAAUUCAAAGUAUAUUCAAUUAACACAAAUAUACAAUUCAAUCAAAAACAUCUCAAUUACAUAUAUAUAUACACUACAUCCUAUGAACUUACCUAGAAAAACGAUAAUAAACGAGGUGGCAGGGACUAGUUUGCAAUUUUUUCUAUUCCUAGGUUAAGUUCUAGUUGAUUCAAUUUUUGAUCUAUAUAGUAAUUCAUUUCAAAAUAUUAGUACUAAUUACUUUAUAACCUCUUAUUCAAGGCAUAUGACAAAUUAAUUUCAUUUUACAUAAUUCUCUAAUGUUUUGCCUUUUAUUCAAUUUGGUCCUUAAAAUCGAAACAAGCAUAUCUUUCACAUUUAAGCACCAUUUUACAAUCCGAUUUCAAAUAAAUCCUACUACAACCCUCUACAUUUAGAAAUUAUAAGAAUUUCAUGUCAAAUUCUAAAUAUUUUCAUUUUAGUCUCUAAACUCAAAAUUAAUAAAUUUUACUUUACAACUUAGUCCUAUUUCACAUCUAAGCUUAUAAUCAAACCAUUUAACAACUAAAGCUUCAAAUUCAUCAAUGGUAAAUUUUCUAAACUUUAGCAAUUUUGAAAACAAAUAUAUCGAUUAGCUAAAUCAAGUUACAACGAUCUCAAAAACAUAAAAUUUAUAAGAAAUAAAUCUCGAAUACCAUAUAUGCAAUAGCCGAAUCUCCAAGGAAGUUUGAAGCUUUCUUUUCUCAUCAACAAUGGCGUUUGAACGAUGAAAGAAUAUGAGAAUGAGGAAUUCUCUUUCCAUCCACUUUUCUUAUCUUCAAUUACAUUAUUAUUUCAUUAAUUUUUAAUCAAAAUUUUAUCAUAAAAUUAGGCCAUAUUUCAAAUUUCAAUAGGCCACUAUAGCCUAUUGUGGUCAAAUUUCUAUACAAAACCUUAUUCAUUUACUGAUUAAGCGUUUUGGCACUUAAGAAUCAAAUGUGAUUAUCUUUUACAAUUUUUACGAUUUAGUCAUUGUACCUUAAUUAACUAUCAAUUCAAUAAAGUACCAAGCCGAAACUUAAUAUAUCACUACAAUAGACUCGUAAAUAUUAAUAAAUAAUAUUUAAUGACUCGAUCAUCAGAAUACAUGAUUCCAAAAUCACCGUUUCUGAUACCACUGAAAAUAAGUUGUUACAUGUAUUAUGCAGACUAUAUUUUUUUAAUUUCAAAAUUUUAGUCUUAACGCAAACAACAGUCGUUAAAUCUAUUAAAUGACUUUUUAUGAGUAAUAUGUAAAAAUUACAAAUAGACAUAACAUUGCACAUGUGAUAAUAUGUUUGACAUAUCAAAUUUUAAAAAUAGUGAAACUUAACUUAAUGAAUUUAGUAGUUAUCAUUUGGUUUGGACUGAAAUUUUCAAAUUCUAAACAGGGACUAAAAAUGACCAAAUUAAAGUACAUGUACUAAAUUCACAACUUAAGCAAAUUACAAUGCCUAAUAGUAAAAUUUUACCUAAUAUAUAUAUCAAAAUUUGAAAAGUAAAGAAAAUUAAGGAAUGAGUAAAACUACUCAGUAUAUAAUCAACAUAUCAUCAGUUGGAUUAAGCAUACCAAAAAAUAGUUAGGCCAAAAUAGUCAUUAAUUAAUUAAAGACAUAACUUGAGUAAUUUCAUACUUAAUAAACUUAUUUGAAACUCAAAGUUUUCAAAUAAGAAAGCUAAACAAUUUUUCACAAAAUUGAAUAUUUUAAUUAGUCUCUCAUAACAUAAUAAGGCCACGCUUAACUUUAAUGACAAAGGUCGAAAACCACAAUCAACCACAACUACAUGGGUAGAAAACCACAAUGAACCUCAGUGGCCCCACAAUUAUUCCCACUAGUAAGGGUUAAAAACUACAAUUAACCUUAAUGACAAUGGGUCGAAACACAAACCACUAUCAUAAAUUAGUGUCACACUAGAAAUUGAUUUCUACCAAAACUACAUGUCAACAUAGUAAACUUUUAACCUCGUUGACAAGUUAAAACAAACUAAAAAAUUUACAAUAGGUUCAGAUGCAUGACAUGAAUCAUAUUGCCAGAUAUGUUCAAAAAUAGUAUUCCUCCUACCAUCCAAAUCAUCCAAACUCUAGUGUCACAGGUUGUAGAUCGAAUCUCGUGACGAUUGCGCAAAGAGUGUCCUAUAGAGGUAAAUUGAUGAAAUAGGGCUCAUUUAACCAAAUUGAAAUGGCCUCACUUGUGGAAUCCAUGGAAAAGCUCAUCUACUUGAAGUCUUGGUGGCUCAGUGAAACACUCUAGUAAAACCAGAGUUACUAGGGUAAACAAUGUAAAUCUUAAAAGGAUAAUAUUGUAUAGAGUUUAAAUCUCUUGGGACUCUCAAUUAUAGAUAAACUCUAAUCUCAACCGUCGAUGUAACUCAAUCUAUACCGUUGGUUUUGGGUGAGCUCAACUAUAAUUAGAGGCCUUCCCCCUCAUUUGUAAUCAUUCCAUUCAUAGUUGUGAAUAUACUUGUGAGUAUUUACUCAAACACUUGGUGUGUGUUAUUUUCCUUUGUCUUUUUUGUUCUUCGUUGCUUUUUUCGUUUUGAGUUUGAUUUUGCUAUAUUUUGGUGCCAUAGAGAAUUUCUAUGAAAAUUCUUAUUUUACGAGGGUUAGGCUGACUUAGGCAGAUUUGGAGCAAAAAAUUUGCCUAAGGUCGCGCGGUUUGCGAGACUUAAGUUCUAGCCUUGUGAAAUUUGGUAUCAGAGCUAAGGUUACGAAGGCACCAUUCGAGAUGUUGAAAGAAGUAACUGAUCAAAUUGAACCAAUAGAGACCCGUGAGCGGGACAAGAAAGCUAGCCAAUCGAGGGACAUGAUGUUGUCUUUAGAAGAAUGAGUGGUCAAUCUUGAGGAGUCCAUGGAAGAGCAACUCAAUGAAGCCAUGUUGGAGUCUCUUGGUUCCAAUGUGGAAGAGAUGCGAGGGGUGUUGAAUUCCACUACAGAUAAGCUAACAUGAGGGACAAUGCUUUUCAGGCCUUAGUGAUGGCUUUGAAUGAGGAAACAAUGGCCACGACGAUGGCUUUGAGCAUAAAAAUUGAGGAGCUCAAGAGAGAGCUUGCUGUGUGUCGAGCUGUCGUGGGUAAAGGGAUGUUGAGUGCAACAUUGAAUCGAGAGAUUGAUGUCCCAAAACUGAAGAAGUUUACGGGGGCAAGGCCCGCAAGGGAAGUGGAUAACUUAUUGUGGGAGAUGGAGCAAUACUUUCGUGCUGUGGGCAUCAAGGAAGAUGAUGCUAAGGUAAAUAAUAUUCCUCAAUAUUUUACCGAUUUUGAACUUUUAUGAUGGCGGCGUAGGUCCACAAAUGAAAGGCAUGGUUAGGUCACAAUUGGAACUUGAGAGGAGUUUUAAAAAUGAGUUCAAUAAGUCGUUUUAUCCUUAAAAUGCUAAGAAGGAGGCUCGUGCUAAGUUACGUUAGUUUUCGCAACAAGGCACAAUUUAGGAUUAUGCGAAGGAGUUCAAUGAAUUGAUUCUCCAAAUUACGGAUCUGAGUGAGAAUGAGGCAUUCUUUUUUUUUAGAUGGUUUGAAGUCGUGGUUAAGUAGGAAUUGGAAUGUCGAUGGGUCUAACAACUGUCUAAAGUUAUGAUCGUAACAGAAUCUUUAAUCGAGCUUGUUCCGAGGAAAGGCAAGUUCAAGUCUUUCAAGCCCAAGAAGAAGGGUAAUGGUAAGGAAAAUAAAGAAGGACAAGUUGUGAAUUACAAUGAUAGUGCUGACAAUGAGAAACCACAAAAUAAGAAGAAGAAACCCAACAGUAAACUGAGGGGGCCUAUACCACCCCUCACUCGUCUCUAUCAUAGAAUUAGGGUUACAGUAUGCUACUAUACAAAAAAAAUAGAAUCUUACUAUAUUGAUGCAAAAAUAUCCCUAAACGAUUGUAAACCAUUGAACAUAUAACCAAAAACAUGUUAUUCAUAUACUAUCGAUUUUAAAUCGAGCUUAUAGAAGCUAUAAAACAAUUUAAAACAAAGUAGAGACUUAUUUGAAACAUUUCAGAAAAAUGAAAUAAAAAAUUACAAAACAGGGGUCAUGCAAUCAUGUGACCAAAUCGUGUGACAGGUUGAGGCCAUGUGAAGUUACAGGACAUGUUUGUAUUGUCCAACCAUGUGCAACGGCUAAAACUGUAAAGGUGGAGUGACUUGGUCGUGUUUUUAGACCGUGUAACAGACUGUGACCGUGUGACAAAAUGACACCUAAAUUACCCAGACCACACGACCGUGCCAUAUAACCGUGUAUGGCAUACGACCAUGUGUCAAGUCUUGUAUCAGCCCGUGUACACCUAAAUGACCUUUUUUUUAACAAGUUACCUAUUCCUAGUACACUUGUGUCACAAGUCACAAUAUGCCAACAUUCAAACCUGUCCAAAAAUCAUCAAAACAUACCCAAAACAACACAUAUUUUAUAUAUCCUAAGUGUCUAACCAAAAUGCAACAAUUGGUAUCUUAAUUCAAACAUUUGUUAUCUAACAUUCAACACCAUUCACACAUCAUUCAAAUACCAUAUACAAUUGUACACAUUCAACUAUCCUCAUCCAUACAAACCUUAAGAAAAAUUAACCAAAUGACCAAUAUAUAUACCUUAUCUCAAAUACAACUUGAACUUAACAUUAAGUACCAUUUCAAAACACAAACUUGUACUUUCACACUUGUAACCCAAAAUACUUAUUUACAUGCCACUUAUAACCUAACACAAAAUUAUCAAAAAUCUACCGAGUCAAUGGAUGGAUAGUGUGAGCUCCGACUUGACUUCCAACCGACAACAACUUCCUAUGAUCUACAAGAAACCAAACAUAAUGAACGUAAGCAACAUAGUGCUUAGUAAGUUCAUACGAAAAUUUACUCAACUUAUCGAGUUUAAUACAACUUAAACAUUGACUAUAGAAUCACACAGACAAGAGCAUAUGUUCAUUGAUGGCCUGUGCAAAUCACAAAUCUCACAAGGUUAGUAACAUUCACAUAAGAAACAUAUAAUUAUUUCAUGCUUAUAAACCAUAUACAAGUAACCAUACUUGGUAUGCAUAUUAUUUUUCAUAUAACAACUUGCCAUUACAUAUCAUUAGUUGUCAUAUCAUAUAAUCAUUUACCAAUUCAUAUAUUCAUUUCACAUAUCUGGUUUAUACUCGAUGAACCACAAUAAAAUAACAUUGGAUACGCGAGAUAACAAUGCUCACAUGAGUUGUGAAAUGGGUUUGCUCACACGAGUUGUAGGUUAGGAUGAUAAGCUACACAAUGCUUCUCACAUGAGCUGUGAAGAAUCUGCAACAAAUGCAGGAUCUUAGCCAUCAGUAGGACAUCCAAGACCAACACCCGAAACGGUAACAAACUUAAUGACAUGUCAUUUGUAUCCUAGUCGUUCACUAAGUUCAUAUAGGCCUCAAUUCAUAACCUUAUCAUUUAGUUAUUUAAACAUUAUCACAUUCACAUGAAAUCAAUCAUAUAAUUUACAUUUUCAAUCACAUACCUCAAAUACAAGUUCAUUGCAGUUUUAUCAAUCUAAUGUUUAAGAUUAUUAUACAAGGAAAUUCGUUCACAAACAUACAUAACUCACUAAAUCAAAAAGGCAACAAUCAAAUUAUUUUAUUGACUAUAUGAACUUACCUGAACUGAAUCAACAACAACCACGACACCAAGGACUACUCAACAAUUUUUCCUUUUCCACGUUUGUUUACCGGUUGAUCCGUUUCUUGAUCUAUAUGAUAAUUUUAAUUCAUCUAACCAUUUAAAUACCUUAAAAAUUUUAGAUUCAUGCAUAUGGACCCUUUAUUAAAAUUUUACAAUAUUACUCUAAACUUUUACCUUUUAUGCAAUUUAGUCCCUAAAACUAAAACUUACAUAUUUUUUCACAAUUUAUUUUAAAAUCCUAAUUCUAAAUUCAAUGUAGUCCCUUAAAAGUCCUUAAAUGACUAAAUUUCACAAUAAUUCGUUCUUAACUUUUAUAUUUUUAUCAAUUUAGUCCUUAAGUUCAAAACUAACAAAAAUUUCUUUACAAAAUAAUCUUAUUUAACAACCAAACUUAUGAAUCUAUCCACCAACCUCAAGAACACCUAAAAAUCAUAAAUGGAAAGUACCAAAACCUUUAAAAAUUUUACAAAUUAGUCCUUAGGUUAGCUAGAUUAAGCUGCGAUAAUAUCAAAAACAUAAAAUUCACUAAAAACGGAAGCCAAAAUCACUUACAUGCAAGGAAAGACAUAAACCAAAAACUCCCAUGUUUUCUUUCACUGGUGUUUCAAUAAAAAAAUUAUAAGAUGAAGAAGAAGAAGAGUUUUUUUUCCUAUUUUGUUUAAGUUAAUAUUUACCUAAUUACCAAAUUAACCUUAAGUCAAACUUUUAAAUUUCAUUAAAAAAAUAGCCCUUAACUGUCCAUUAUAAUUUCUUAUGAUUUGAUUACUAAAUAAGGCCAUCCAAUCAUGCUUCUUUAGUAAAUUAACACAUUUAAACUAACAGCGAUUGACUUUUUCAACUUUUAUGAUUUAGUCCUUUUACCUAAUUAACCAACCAAACAUCAAAAUCACUGAAUCAAACUUUAAUACGACACUCUAAUAGCCUCAAAAAUAUUAGAUAAAUAAUAUUUACUGAUUUACUAUUUGGAAUUUUGGUCCCAAAACCAUCAUUUUUGACACCACUAAAAAACGGGCUAUUUUAGGGCCAUUGAAAUGCUUCAUUUGUGAAGGUCUGCAUAUGGUAAGGGAUUUUUUGAAGUGGUUCAUGUUUUUUACCAUAAAAAAGGAUGAUGAGCCAAAACAAGUACCAAUGAGGCUUGGUUCAAUUGUGUGUGGGAUCGAAGCUAAGAGGGAAAAAAGAAUGAAAAGAAGCCAGUGAAGUCCUUUUUAUGUUGUGGUCUGCAUAGGAUGCAAGAAUUUCUAGAGCAAUUUAAGACUUUCGUGAUCAGUAAAGAAGUGGAAGCGAAACCAGAGAGUGAGGCUUUGAAGUUUGGGUUAAUGAUACUCAAUUCUGCAAAAGUGAAGAGGGAUCGCAAGUAGAAAGAGUUGAUGUAUGUGGACAUCAACAUCGCAGGUUAGAGGAAGAGUGCUCUUAUUGAUACAAGCGCAUCAGACCUAUUCAUAUCAGAAAAAGCUAUGGGUAAACUUGAUCUCUCAAUCAGUGAAUCAACUAAGAAGAUCAAUAUUGUUAAUUCCAAAGAGGUCCCAACUGUAGGAGUAGCACAAGGAGUUGAGAUGCAGACUGGUUAAUAGAAAGAUAAGUAAGACUUUGAGAUAAUUCACUUAGAUGAUUACGACUUUGUUCUUGGCUUAAAUUUCUUUGACAAGAUUAUUGCUUUUUAGGUUCAUUUUUCGACUAUAUAUGCAUCUGGAUACUCGAAAACAACAAUGUGUUGUGUUGGUGAGUCGAGACAUGAGGGGCAGAAUGAAGAUAUUUUCAAAAAUCCAACUAUCCGAGGAUAUCAUAGGGGAAAGAACAUUGGCUCGGUAGAUCGAAUGAGUGCUAUGAAGACCUCCAUGUAAAUUCUAGAGAGGCGACAAACUAUAUGAAGCUUAUUGAGUUAUCAGUUGGGCUACCACCUGAAAGAAAGGUAAGUUGUGCAUUGGACUUUGAGGGAAAAAUGCCAAUGAAAAAUGGGAAACUGAGACUAGUAAAUGCAACGAGUGAGGUAAAUCUCAAGCACUUUUGCAAUGUUUUUCAUUUUGAAUUAUUGGCUUAGCAAGGACAUAAGAGCCCUUUCAAAGUUCUGAAGCGGCUAAGCCGAGGGGCUUAUAAACCUGAGUUUUCCAGAACACUCAAGGUUAACUUGGUGUUCAAUGUGGGAAUGAGACGCCUAUUUUUGUGAAUUAAGGGGAUCCCGAUUGAGGGAGGUCAUAAUGUGGGCAAGUAAAAGUGGCGAGCUCUUACGAACGAAAUAAACCAAAAAGGAGAGAAACAAUUCGAGUUAGUGGACGACGGAAGCCAAGGCAAGUAUUCUAAGGGGCAGGGCUACCUGACAAAUAGGCUAGUCAGGAAUCAAACGAGGCAUUGAGAAAGUUUCGAGGCGAGUUAAACUAGUGCCAUUUCGAGGAUACAAUGAGGGUAUUAUGAGAAUGAGUGGAGGAGAAUGUCACAGGCCGUGGAUCAAAGCUCGUGACGAUUGUGCAAAGAGUGUCCCAUAGAGGUCAAUUGAUGAAAUGGGGCUCAUUUAACCCGAUUGAACUGGCCCGACUCGUGGAACCCAUGAAAAAACCAAUCUACUUGAAGCCUUGGUGGCCUAGUGAAACACUCCAAUAAAACUAGAGUUACCAGGGUAAACAGUGAAAUCCCAAAGGAUAAGAUUGUAUAGAGUUUAAAUCCCUUAGGAUUCUCAAUUGUAGAUAGGCUCUAAUAUCGACCGUCGAUGUAACUCAAUCUGUACAGUUGGUUUUGGGGGAGCUCAACUAUAAAUAGAGGCCUUCCCCCUCAUUUGUAAUCAUUCCAUUCAUAGUUGUGAAUAUAUUUGAGAGCAUUUACUUAAACAUUUGGUGUGUGUUAUUUUCCUUUGGCUUUUUUGUUAUUCGUUGCUCUUUCGUUUCAAGUUUGCUUCCACUAUAUUUUGGUGCCUUGGAAAUUUUCUAUGAGAAUUCUCACUUUUGCAAGAGUUAGGUUGACUCAGGUAGAUUCGAAGCAAAGUAAUCACCUAAGGUCAUGCGGUUUAAUAGACUUAAGUCUAGCCUUGUGACACUAGUAUAUUAAUUUAUCACCUCGAUAGUUGCAUUACCUAGAGGGGUCAGUUUGACAAAUGUCUUCAACCAUGUGAAUUUUAUACUAUUCUCAUAAUAUUCAUUUUGGUCCUCAUCUGGCCAAACACUCAAUAAUUGAUAACAAAACUGCAAUAGGCCAAUGUUGCUUUCUUUGAUUACUGUUAUUCACCAAUUAGAAGGUUGGUUAUUAAAGUGUCAUCUUCCAACAUUAUAGUUGCUUUCUAGUAUGGAAAGUGAAAUGCAUGCAUUUUCGGCCUCCAUCUUUCUAGUAAAACGCCAAGCAACUUCAGCAUAAUUUCAAACUUGGCUAUUCUAAAAGUCAUUAAUAAAUCAACGCUCCUUAAGUGGUCUUCAAUACAUCCAUCCAAUUUGGGGAACCUAAGAUUAUGUCAAGCACAAAAUUGUUCGAUCUUGUUGUUCAAAAUGUAAAAAAAAAAAUUUACUAGAAUCUAAAAAAGUUUCAUAAUGAUAGAAUAUAAAUGUAACAAAAUGUUAUACUAAGAACAUUAAAAAAAAUUGAGUGAACAAAUUUAUCACAUUUAUAGUAUGAUAAGUUAUAUGUUCUUCUUGAAACCUUAAAACAACAAUUUUACAAUGUUGUCUGAAUCGGACUAAAUUAGGAAUCAAUUGGGGGUAUCGGUUCAGUAAAAGGUAUAAAAUCAGUUGACUCGUGGUAUGGAUCGAUUGAAUUAGGCCUAUAUGUUUUUAAUAUUUUUAUUUUUGUAAAUAUUUUAAUAAUUUAUUUUCUUCGAAUUAUCUGAAUCUAUUGAACUGAGAACCAAUAGUCUAACUGGCUCGACCAUUGAUCUAAUUCUAAAAAUAUUGUAUUUUUAUGGAAAGUGAAAGUAGAAAAAUUUAAGAAUUUUUUCUAGGCGGGAGAAUUUAGUUUUUUAGAGAAUCUUUAGUGAAAAUAAAAGAGAAUAGAGUGAAGUAUUUAUAAAAACACUGCCUUGCAACUUAUGAGUAUCGACAAUGACUCAAGAAUUAUUGCUUCUGGCCCCAACUACAUGUGUAUUACAGUUAGGAAUAUGAAUUGCAUGAAGAAUUUAUAUAUCAUAAUAUGAAUAUUAAAAUAAUCCUCCAAAGAAUAGAAAAAAGUUUGAAAAUUACAUAUUUAAAAAAAAAUAAAAUUAUUCUUACAAGAUUUUAAUAAAAAGAUCCCACUUUCUGAAGUUCAUAGGUGCUUUUGUAGGUGGGCAAAGAAUAAUAAGUCUUGUUUAACUAAUAGAAGGAUAGAAGUUGACAAUAAGGCAUCUACUUUAAUAUAAAGAGAAAUAUUGGUGUUCGAAAUGCAAUUGUUUGCCACCUCUGACUUUUAUUAUUAUUAUUAAAAUUAAUCAUUCAUUCUGUUUUAAACCCCAUCCUUAUCCACCUUAGCCCAUAGCAGUGGACCAAUACUAAAUAAUUUUGGUAACUUCAAUUUUACCAUGAUUGUAGUUGAACCUUCAUUGUGCAGGGUGAAAUAUGUCAACUUUUAUCCUUUUGUUAUUGCUUUAAUACAUAAACUUAGAUAAUUGAUAUUUAUUAUUAGACCAUAAAUUGUCAAAAAAAAAAAAAGACAAAAAGAAAAACUUUUCAAAAAAUAACUCUUUGAGAUUAUAUUAUUGAAAAGGAUAAUUAUAAAGUUGAAAUAAUUAAUUUUCAUAAAAUAUAAAAGAUACAUUUGUCAUAAAAGAAAAAAUCUAGAUAGUAUUAAAUGGGAUACAACCAUCCUACCAAAGGAUUUGGGAAUUGUAUAACAAUCAUAGAAACGAGAUAUGCUUCCUUACAAGGUAUCAUCAGCCAGACAGCCCACUUUAUAAGAGAAGAUGGUUUGAGUGCUUUAUGACAACUUCACAAAAUUCCCUGCUCACACCACCAUCUCACCAUGGGUGUCUACACGUAAGUUAAACUGGAAAGAAGAGAAAAAACAGGGUCCCAUUGCAGAUACGUGAGUGGUGAGCAAGAGACGCGCUCAACCACUCAAAACUAAUAAAAGCCAAGCCUCUCUUGAAAACUUGUGGUGCUCAUCUCAUCAAGGGAUCAAAGCAAAUACCCAAAUCAAUCAAACCAAACUUUAAUAACACCUCUAUCAUUAUUUCAUUUGUUGUCUUUGUUGCCACCUCUAAUCUUUUCCUAGUAUUAUAAAAGAAAAGAAAAACAUAUAUUAUUUUUUCUCCCUUAUCACCAGUCCUAGUCUUUGCCUGCCAUCAUCAUCAUUAUCACCAACCAACCCCAACAACAGCGGCCUCUACUUAUCAUAUUCAUUUGAUUAUAAAACUGGCUUGUUUUCAUUUGCUUUUUACUUGGGGUGGUUCUUUUGUUUCUGGGGUGUCUUGUUAUUAUUUUCUGUAAAAAAGAGAGAGGAAUAGUUUUGCUGGUGGAUUGGGAGAGAAUGAGAGUGAGAGAGAAUUAUGCGAAUCCUUUGCGAUGCUUGUGAAAGUGCUCCUGCUAUUGUCUUCUGUGCUGCGGAUGAAGCUGCUCUUUGCCGUGCCUGUGAUGAAAAGGUUGGUUCUUUCUUCAAUUGAUUCUAGUUUUCAUGUAAAUAUACAUCCCGGGGGGGGGGGUCUGUUUUACCUGUUAAAUGGACCCCCCACCCCAUGUGGGAUUUUGUAGUCUGUUGUUCUUCUGUUUAGGAGGCAGGAUUUUGACAUGGUUGCAUGAAAGUCCAAUUGUUUAUUUCUAGAUACUUGGCAGAAUCUGGUUUUCCAUUAAACCCAACUAAAGGUCCCUCUUUUCUUCUUCAAAAUUGAGUCUUUUAAGCGCUUUCUUCUGCACUACUUACUUCUAGCAUAAGCAAGCAACUGUUCAGACUAUUCUUUCUAUAAACUCUCAGCUGGAAUUGCAAAUAUUGAUAAAAAUAUAUUGCUAUAUCUUUUGAUUUUAUUCAUCUCAAAAACCUCGUUUGCAUUGUUAGCAAAAGGAUGCUUCUUCAAACUUGUUAUGGAUUAGAUUUUCAAUUCUUUCGUUGUUAUAGAUUGCAGGUGAAAAACUUAACCCUUGCUUUAAACAGGUGCACAUGUGCAAUAAACUUGCUAGCCGACAUGUCCGGGUUGGUUUGGCAAAUCCCAGUGAUGUUCCUCGCUGUGACAUAUGUGAAAAUGCACCUGGUAUGCAGGUGUCUUUUUGUCUUUUCCUUUCAUUAUAGUGCUUUGCUUUGUUGCUAUAUCAGCUCCAUUAGAAGUUUCAAGUUUCUUAAACUUACGUUCAUCAUCUCUUGGCUACCAAUGUAGCUUUCUUUUACUGCGAGAUAGAUGGAAGUUCCCUUUGUUUGCAAUGUGAUAUGGUUGUACAUGUUGGAGGUAAAAGAGCUCAUGGAAGAAAUCUUCUAUUCAGGCAGAGAGUAGAGGUUUGUUACUUAAUCUCUGUAAAGAAUUUGGGUCAUAUAUUCCCUCCUGGAGUUUUAAUGUGCCAUUGGAAUUUGAUUUCUCGUCCUUUAUAUAGUUUCCAGGGGAUAAACCUGCUCAUAUAGAUGAGACCAGAAGAGGCCAAAAUCAUCCACGUAAAACACCUAUUGGAGAGAAGCAACAAAAUCACAAGGUCUCUCCUGUUCAUGGGGCAGAUGCUGCUGCUGCUUCUGUUGGCCAUCUUGAAACCGAUACUAAAAUGAUAGAUUUAAAUAUGAAGCCUCAUCGAAUACAUGGGCAAGCCUCAAACAAUCAGGUUAGAACUACUCUUUAACUAUUUUCUAUACCUAUAUAAACAUGCUUAUCUUUUUCUUUCACUGCAUUUGAAACACAUGAUGUAAUUGUUCUUUCAACAUGUUUAGGGGUAAUAUCUGCAAUUAUUUGUUAAGGAGUGUGACUAAGAGGCUGUCUUGGUUGGAACUUGGAAGCCCUCUGCUUUUUCAUUUGCAACGGCGAUGCGGUUGUUUCAAUAUCCAUGGAAAGAUUCAAAACUAUGUAUGAGGAUUGUAUGACUUCUCAAUCGGAUUGCAGAAUCGGGCUGAGAGGAUAGAUAUGUAAAAUUCAUAAAAGGGUGUUGGAGAUCUUCAUAAAGUUCAUGAGGUCAAAUGGAGGAUGAUAGAAUUUAAAACAGAAAAUGUUGUACCUUAAAGAAUAAUUGGCUUGUAUUAACAAAGACUAAGAUAAUAUUUUUGGAAUUUCUCCAAAAGAUAAUGAUCUCAGUGCUAGUUGAGUUGUUUUAGUUCUUGGAAGUAUUGACAGUUUCAUUGUUGACAAACAUCUGCUUGGUUUUUAAGUCCAACUGAGAGAAUUCAUUGAUGAAUGGUACAUUUGUGGAUUCCAUAAUGUUAUUAAACAGUCUUGUAAUUUUUUUUUUGUUUGACUUCAUAAAGCAAAUAGGACUAUUUGAGAAUGCCUGUGAUUAAUACUUGAGUAAUGCCAUACUUGUAUAGGAGGACGGCCCAAAUAACCAGACCCUGAUGCAAGUUAUGUAUGGAAAACAUUACAGAUGUGGGAUUCCCAUUUCAGCCUAUAGAUGGGCCAAGAAACUGAUAAGGAUAAGGAGAAGCAGAUGGAGCACUGAUGAUGACAAAUGGUAGCAGAAGGGAUGGAGGCCAACAACACAUGUUGAAGCAACGUCUAGACAUGUAAGACUCUUCGUUACAGUUUGAAAUAAGGGCAUGGACAAUUUCAGUAUAACAGAAUAUCUUCUCAUAGUAGCCAGGUUGGGCCUGAGUUAUGUCAUGUGAGCAUUCUUCCUAAAUAUUCAAAACCUUGUCUGUAUCUGAUAUGGGUGUUAAUGCACUUGUCUUAUUUUCCUGAGGAUGAGCAAAGUUAUGGUUGAAGUCACAUUUUGCAGUUAGAUUAGCAUUCCACGUGCAAGAUCACAGAGCUCAUAUUAGUUUUUGUAUGGAUUGGUCUAAUUCUUAUGCUUUAACAUAAUUAUUAAGAGGGAAAAAAAGGGGAAAACCAAGGAGUUUAUAAUGAAAGAUCAGUGUUCUGCUCUUUCAAUUAAAUUUUCAGUGCAGGAAAUUCAUAGAGCUGUUGAAGAUACAAACAUGCUAAUAGACAUAACCCUUGACAAACAUUCCUUGCUUGGCCUCCUCUGACUCUCCUUUGCCGGUGUACUUUCCGAGUUGAGCAAGAGAGUUGGCCUUUGCUCGGAUGAGCAGCACUUCCUGAGCAUCCUUCACAUUCUCAGGUCUGCCUCCCCACUUCUUCAGGCAAGUGUUUUGAAGGGCUCUUGCAUAUGAGAAUGACACAUGCCAUGGGUUUGGAGCUUGGUUCAUUGCAUUCAAGUUCAAGGUAGCCUCAACUUCAGACUGCCCACCAGACAAAAACUGCCAAAAAAAUGCAACCAAACAACCAUUAGCUGCUAAGUUUCCUCUAGGCAUGUUAAAUAACUUAUAUUAUAGUAGCCAAUUACCAUGAUUCCAGGGACAGCUGGAGGGAUUCUUUGGCGGAGGAGGCUGAGGGUGUAAUCAGCAACUUGUUGAGGAGUAGCCCUGUCCUUGCACUCCGCACCGGGAGUGACCAUACUUGGCUUGAGGAGGAUACCUUCAAACAUCACAUUGUUCUGGGCAAGAUAGAAGAAAACCUCAGCCCAUAC